rnacentral:lncRNA from 1 species
CAAUGUCAAGUAUCUUUUCCUUAGACCAUGAGAUCGUGUAACUCCCGGAUACCGUAGGAGUGCUUUGGGUAUACCAAACGUCACAACGUAACUGGGUGACUAUAAAGGUAGACUACGGGUAUCUCCGAAAGUGUCUGUUGGGUUGACAUGGAUCAAGACUGGGAUUUGUCACUCCGUAUGACGGAGAGGUAUCACUGGGCCCACUCGGUAAUGCAUCAUCAUAAUGAGCUCAAAGUGACCAAGUGUCUGGUCACGGGAUCAUGCAUUACGGUACGAGUAAAGUGACUUGCUGGUAACGAGAUUGAACGAGGUAUUGGGAUACCAACGAUCGAAUCUCGGGCAAGUAACAUAUCGAUUGACAAAGGGAAUUGCAUACGGGGUUGAUUGAAUCCUCGACAUCGUGGUUCAUCCGAUGAGAUCAUCGCGGAGCAUGUGGGAGACAACAUGGGUAUCCAGAUCCCGCUGUUGGUUAUUGACCGAAGAGUCGUCUCGGUCAUGUCUGCUUGUCUCCCGAACCCGUAGGGUCUACACACUUAAGGUUCGGUGAUGCUAGGGUUGUGAAGAUAUGUAUAUGCAGUAACCCGAAUGUUGUUCGGAGUCCCGGAUGAGAUCCUGGACGUCACGAGGAGUUUCGGAAUGGACCGGAGGUAAAUAAUUAUAUAUAGGAAGUGCUGUUUCGGCCAUCGGGACAAGUUUCGGGGUCACCGGUAUUGUACCGGGACCACCGGAAAGGUCCCGGGGGUCCACCGGGUGGGGCCACCUAUCCCGGGGGGCCCCAUGGGCUGAAGAAGGAGGGAACCCAGCCCAAAGUGGGCUGGGGCGCCACUCCCCUAGGGCCCAUGCGGCUAGGGUUGAGGGGAAACCCUAAAGGGGGCGCCCCCUUGCUUGGGGGGCAAGCCCCCCACCCUUGGCCGCCGCCCCCCCUAGGAGAUUCCAUCUCCUAGGGCCGGCACCCCCCCUAGCACCCCUAUAUAUAGUGGGGGAGAGGAGGGACUUCAUACACCAGCCCCUGGCACCUCCCUCUCUCCCCGUUACGUCUCUCUCUCGUAGUAUAGGCGAAGCCCUGCUACUGUGACGCCCUGCAUCCACCACCACGCCGUCGUGCUGCUGGAUCUUCAUCAACCUCUCCUUUCCCCUUGCUGGAUCAAGAAGGAGGAGACGUCUCCCGUCCCGUACGUGUGUUGAACGCGGAGGUGCCGUCCGUUCGGCGCUUGGUCAUCGGUGAUUUGGAUCACGUCGUGUUCGACUACAUCAUCACCAUUCUUUUAACGCUUCCGCACGCGAUCUACAAAGGUAUGUAGAUGCAUCCGAUGACUCGUUGCUAGAUGAACUCCUAGAUGGAUCUUGGUGAAACGAGUAGGAAAAUUUUUGUUUUCUGCAACGUUCCCCAACAGUGGCAUCAUGAGCUAGGUCUAUGCGUAGUUCUUCUUGCGCGAGUAGAACACAAUUUGUUGUGGGCGUAGAUUUGUCAACUUUCUUGCCGCUACUAGUCUUUUCUUGCUUCAGCGGUAUUGUGGGAUGAAGCGGCCCGGACCAACCUUACACGUACGCUUACGUGAGACCGGUUCCACCGACUAACAUGCACUAGUUGCAUAAGGUGGCUGGCGGGUGUCUGUCUCUCCCACUUUAGUUGGAGCGGAUUCGAUGAAAAGGGUCCUUAUGAAGGGUAAAUAGAAGUUGACAAAUCACGUUGUGGCUUUCACGUAGGUAAGAAGACGUUCUUGCUAGAACCCUAAUUCAGCCACGUAAAACUUGCAACAACAAUUAGAGGACGUCUAACUUGUUUUUGCAGCAAGUGGUUUGUGAUAUGAUAUGGCCAAAGUUGUGAUGAAUGAUGAAUGAUCUAUAUGUGAUGUAUGAUAUGUUCAUGCUAUUGUAAUAGGAAUCACGACUUGCAUGUCGAUGAGUAUGACAACCGGCAGGAGCCAUAGGAGUUGUCUUUAUUUUUGUAUGCCCUACGUGUCAUUGAGAAACGCCAUGUAAAUUACUUUACUUUAUUGCUAAACGCGUUAGCCAUAGUAGUAGAAGUAAUAGUUGGCGAGCAACUUCAUGGAGACACGAUGAUGGAGAUCAUGAUGAUGGAGAUCAUGGUGUCAAGCCGGUGACAAGAUGAUCAUGGAGCCCCAAGAUGGAGAUCAAAGGAGCUAUGUGAUAUUGGCCAUAUCAUGUCACGUUUAUUAUUUGAUUGCAUGUGAUGUUUAUCAUGUUUUGCAUCUUGUUUACUUAGAACGACGGUAGUAAAUAAGAUGAUCCCUCAUAUUAAUUUCAAGAAGUGUUCCCCCUAACUGUGCACCGUUGCGACAGUUCACUGUUUCAAAACACCACGUGAUGAUCGGGUGUUUUAUUCAGACGUUCACAUACAACGGGUGUAAGACAGAUUUACACAUGCAAACACUUAGGUUGACUUGACGAGCCUAGCAUGUACAGACAUGGCCUCGGAACACAGAAGACCGAAAGGUCGAGCAUGAGUCGUAUAGAAGAUACGAUCAACAUGAAGAUGUUCACCGACAUUGACUAGUCCGUCUCACGUGAUGAUCGGACACGGCCUAGUUAACUCGGAUCAUGUAAUACUUAGAUGACUAGAGGGAUGUCUAAUCUAAGUGGGAGUUCAUUAAUAAUUUGAUUAGAUAAACUUAAUUAUCAUGAACUUAGUCUAAAAUAUUUUACAAUAUGUCUUGUAGAUCAAAUGGCCCACGUAGUCCUCAACUUCAACGUGUUCCUAGAGAAAACCAAGCUGAAAGACGAUGGCAGCAACUAUACGGACUGGGUCCGGAACCUGAGGAUCAUCCUCAUAGCUGCCAAGAAAGAUUAUGUCCUACAAGCACCGCUAGGUGAAGCUCCCGUCCCACAGAACCAAGACGUUAUGAACGCUUGGCAGACAUGUGUUGACGACUACUCCCUUGUUCAGUGCGGCAUGCUUUACAGCUUAGAGCCGGGGCUCCAAAAGCGUUUUGAGAGACAUGGAGCAUAUGAGAUGUUCGAAGAGCUGAAAAUGGUUUUUCAAGCUCAUGCCCGGAUCGAGAGAUAUGAAGUCUCCGAUAAGUUCUUCAGCUGUAAGAUGGAGGAAAAUAGUUCUGUCAGUGAGCACAUACUCACUAUGUCUGGGUUACAUAACCGCUUGUCUCAGCUGGGAGUUAAUCUCCCGGAUGAUGCGGUCAUUGACAGAAUCCUCCAGUCGCUUCCACCAAGCUACAAGAGCUUUGUGAUGAACUUCAACAUGCAGGGGAUGCAAAAGACCAUUCCUGAGUUGUUCUCAAUGCUGAAAUCAGCGGAGGUAGAAGUCAAGAAGGAACAUCAAGUGUUGAUGGUCAAUAAAACCACUAAGUUCAAGAAGGGCAAGGGUAAGAAAGCCUUCAAGAAGGACGGCAAGGAAGUCGCAGCGCCCGGCAAGCAAGCUGCCGGGAAGAAGCAAAAGAAUGGACCCAAGCCCGAAACUGAGUGCUUUUAUUGCAAGGGAAGCGGUCACUGGAAGCGGAAUUGCCCUAAAUACUUAGCAGACAAGAAGGCCGGCAAAAAAAAAGGUAUAUGUGAUAUACAUGUAAUUGAUGUGUACCUUACUAGUGUCCGUAGUAGCUCCUGGGUAUUUGAUACCGGUGCAGUUGCUCACAUUUGUAACUCAAAGCAGGGGCUGCGGAAUAAGCGGAAACUGGCAAAGGACGAGGUGACGAUGCGCGUCGGGAAUGGUUCCAAGGUCAAUGUGAUCGCCGUCGGCAUGCUGCCUCUAUAUUUACCUUCGGGAUUAGUUUUAAACCUUAAUAAUUGUUAUUUAGUGCCAGCUUUGAGCAUGAACAUUGUAUCGGGAUCUCGUUUAAUUCGAGAUGGCUACUCAUUUAAAUCUGAGAAUAAUGGUUGUUCUAUUUAUAUGAGAGAUAUGUUUUAUGGUCAUGCUCCUAUGGUGAAUGGUUUAUUCUUUAUGAAUCUCGAACGUAAUGCCACACAUGUUCAUAAUGUGAGUACCAAAAGAUGUAAAGUUGAUAAUGAUAGUCCCACAUACUUGUGGCACUGCCGCCUUGGUCACAUAGGUGUCAAACGCAUGAAGAAGCUCCAUGCAGCUGGACUUUUAGAGUCUCUUGAUUAUGAAUCAUUUGACAUGUGCGAACCAUGCCUCAUGGGUAAGAUGACCAAGACUCCAUUCUCAGGAACAAUGGAGCAAGCAACCAACUUAUUGGAAAUCAUACAUACUGAUGUGUGCGGUCCAAUGAGUGUUGAGGCUCGCGGUGGCUAUCGUUAUGUUCUCACGCUCACUGAUGAUUUAAGUAGAUAUGGGUAUAUCUACUUAAUGAAACACAAGUCUGAAACCUUUGAAAAGUUCAAGGAAUUUCAGAGUGAGGUUGAAAAUCAACGUGACAGGAAGAUCAAGUUUCUACGAUCAGAUCAUGGAGGAGAAUACUUGAGUCACGAAUUUGGCACACACUUAAGAAAAUGUGGAAUAGUUUCACAACUCACGCCGCCUGGAACACCUCAGCGUAACGGUGUGUCCGAACGUCGCAAUCGCACUCUAUUAGAUAUGGUGCGAUCUAUGAUGUCUCUUACCGAUUUACCGCUAUCUUUUUGGGGCUAUGCUUUAGAGACUGCCGCAUUCACUUUAAAUAGGGCUCCAUCGAAAUCCGUUGAGACGACACCGUAUGAAUUAUGGUUUGGGAAGAAACCUAAGCUAUUGUUUCUAAAAGUUUGGGGAUGCGAUGCUUAUGUCAAGAAACUUCAACCUGAAAAGCUCGAACCCAAGUCGGAAAAAUGCGUCUUCAUAGGAUACCCAAAAGAAACUAUUGGGUAUACCUUCUACCUCAGAUCCGAAGGCAAGAUCUUUGUUGCCAAGAAUGGGUCCUUUCUACAGAAAGAGUUUCUCUCGAAAGAAGUAAGUGGGAGGAAAGUAGAGCUUGAUGAAGUAUUACCUCUUGAACCAGAAAAUGGCGCAACUCAAGAAAAUGUUCCUGAGGUGCCUGCACCGACUAGAGAGGAAGUUAAUGAUAAUGAUCAAGAUACUUCUGAUCAAGCUCCUACUGAAAUUCGAAGGUCCACAAGGACACGUUCCGCACCAGAGUGGUACGGCAACCCUGUCUUGGAAAUCAUGUUGUUAGACAACGGUGAACCUUCGAACUAUGAAGAAGCGAUGGCGGGCCCGGAUUCCGACAAAUGGCUAGAAGCCAUGAAAUCCGAGAUAGGAUCCAUGUAUGAAAACGAAGUAUGGACUUUGACUGACUUGCCCGUUGAACGGCGAGCCAUAGAAAAUAAAUGGAUCUUUAAGAAGAAGACAGACGCGGAUGGCAAUGUGACCAUCUAUAAAGCUCGACUUGUCGCUAAGGGUUAUCGACAAGUUCAAGGGGUUGACUACGAUGAGACUUUCUCACCGGUAGUGAAGCUAAAGUCCGUCCGAAUCAUGUUAGCAAUUGCCGCAUUCUACGAUUAUGAGAUAUGGCAAAUGGACGUCAAAACGGCAUUCCUUAAUGGUUUCCUUAAGGAAGAAUUGUAUAUGAUGCAGCCGGAAGGUUUUGUCGAUCCUAAGAAUGCUGACAAGGUGUGCAAGCUCCAACGCUCGAUUUAUGGGCUGGUGCAAGCAUCUCGGAAUUGGAACAUUCGCUUUGAUGAGAUGAUCAAUGCGUUUGGGUUUACGCAGACUUAUGGAGAAGCCUGCGUUUACAAGAAAGUGAGUGGGAGCUCUGUAGCAUUUCUCAUACUAUAUGUAGAUGACAUACUUUUGAUGGGAAAUGGUAUAGAACUCUUGGACAGCAUCAAGGCCUGCUUGAAUAAGAGUUUUUCAAUGAAGGACCUUGGAGAAGCUGCUUAUAUAUUAGGCAUCAAAAUCUAUAGAGAUAGAUCGAGACGCCUCAUAGGUCUUUCACAAAGCACAUACCAUGAUAAGAUAUUGAAGAAGUUCAAUAUGGAUCAAUCUAAGAAGGGGUUCUUGCCUGUGUUACAAGGUAUGAAAUUGAGCUCAGCUCAAUGUCCGACCACGGCAGAAGAUAUAGAAGAGAUGAGCGUCAUCCCCUAUGCAUCAGCCAUAGGUUCUAUUAUGUAUGCCAUGCUGUGUACCAGACCUGAUGUAAACCUUGCCGUAAGUUUGGUAGGAAGGUACCAAAGUAAUCCCGGCAAGGAACACUGGAUAGAGGUCAAGAAUAUCCUGAAGUACCUGAAAAGGACUAAGGAAAUGUUUCUCGUUUAUGGAGGUGACGAAGAGCUCGUCGUAAAGGGUUACGUCGACGCUAGCUUCGACACAGAUCUGGAUGACUCUAAGUCACAAACCGGAUACGUGUAUAUUUUGAAUGGUGGGGCAGUAAGCUGGUGCAGUUGCAAGCAAAGCGUCGUGGCGGGAUCUACAUGUGAAGCGGAGUACAUGGCAGCCUCGGAGGCAGCACAUGAAGCAAUAUGGGUGAAGGAGUUCAUCACCGACCUAGGAGUCAUACCCAAUGCGUCGGGGCCAAUCAAACUUUUCUGUGACAACACUGGAGCUAUUGCACUUGCCAAGGAGCCCAGGUUUCACAAGAAGACAAGGCACAUCAAGCGUCGCUUCAACUCCAUUCGUGAAAAUGUUCAAGAUGGAGACAUAGAUAUUUGUAAAGUACAUACGGACCUGAAUGUAGCAGAUCCGUUGACUAAACCUCUCCCUAGAGCAAAACAUGAUCAACACCAGAAUUCCAUGGGUGUUCGAUUCAUCACAAUGUAACUAGAUUAUUGACUCUAGUGCAAGUGGGAGACUAUUGGAAAUAUGCCCUAGAGGCAAUAAUAAAAGCAUUAUUAUUAUAUUUCCUUAUUCAUGAUAAUUGUCUUUAUUCAUGCUGUAAUUGUGUUAUCCGGAAAUCGUAAUACAUGUGUGAAUAACAGACACCAACAUGUCCCUAGUAAGCCUGUAGUUGACUAGCUCGUUGAUCAACAGAUAGUCAUGGUUUCCUGACUAUGGACAUUGGAUGUCAUUGAUAACGAGAUCACAUCAUUAGGAGAAUGAUGUGAUGGACAAGACCCAAUCCUAAACAUAGCACAAGAUUGUAUAGUUCGUUUGCUAGAGUUUUUCCAAUGUCAAGUAUAUUUUCCUUAGACCAUGAGAUCGUGUAACUCCCGGAUACCGUAGGAGUGCUUUGGGUAUACCAAACGUCACAACGUAACUGGGUGACUAUAAAGGUAGACUACGGGUAUCUCCGAAAGUGUCUGUUGGGUUGACAUGGAUCAAGACUGGGAUUUGUCACUCCGUAUGACGGAGAGGUAUCACUGGGCCCACUCGGUAAUGCAUCAUAAUAAUGAGCUCAAAGUGACCAAGUGUCUGGUCACGGGAUCAUGCAUUACGGUACGAGUAAAGUGACUUGCCGGUAACGAGAUUGAACGAGGUAUUGGGAUACCGACGAUCGAAUCUCGGGCAAGUAACAUAUCGAUUGACAAAGGGAGUUGCAUACGGGGUUGAUUGAAUCCUCGACAUCAUGGUUCAUCCGAUGAGAUCAUCGUGGAGCAUGUGGGAGCCAACAUGGGUAUCCAGAUCCCGCUGUUGGUUAUUGACCGAAGAGUCGUCUCGGUCAUGUCUGCUUGUCUCCCGAACCCGUAGGGUCUACACACUUAAGGUUCGGUGACGCUAGGGUUGUGAAGAUAUGUAUAUGCAGUAACCCGAAUGUUGUUCGGAGUCCCGGAUGAGAUCCCGGACGUCACGAGGAGUUCCGGAAUGGUCCGGAGGUAGGAAGUGCUGUUUCGGCCAUCGGGACAAGUUCCGGGGUCACCGGUAUUGUACCGGGACCACCGGAAGGGUCCCGGGGGUCCACCGGGUGGGGCCACCUAUCCCGGGGGGCCCCAUGGGCUGAAGAAGGAGGGAACCCAGCCCAAAGUGGGCUGGGGCGCCACUCCCCUAGGGCCCAUGCGGCUAGGGUUGAGGGGAAACCCUAAAGGGGGCGCCCCCUUGCUUGGGGGGCAAGCCCCCCNNNNNNNNNNNNNNNNNNNNNNNNNNNNNNNNNNNNNNNNNNNNNNNNNNNNNNNNNNNNNNNNNNNNNNNNNNNNNNNNNNNNNNNNNNNNNNNNNNNNNNNNNNNNNNNNNNNNNNNNNNNNNNNNNNNNNNNNNNNNNNNNNNNNNNNNNNNNNNNNNNNNNNNNNNNNNNNNNNNNNNNNNNNNNNNNNNNNNNNNNNNNNNNNNNNNNNNNNNNNNNNNNNNNNNNNNNNNNNNNNNNNNNNCUUCAUACACCAGCCCCUGGCGCCUCCCUCUCUCCCCGUUACGUCUCUCUCUCGUAGUAUAGGCGAAGCCCUGCUACUGUGACGCCCUGCAUCCACCACCACGCCGUCGUGCUGCUGGAUCUUCAUCAACCUCUCCUUUCCCCUUGCUGGAUCAAGGAGGAGACGUCUCCCGUCCCGUACGUGUGUUGAACGCGGAGCUGCCGUCCGUUCGGCGCUUGGUCAUCGGUGAUUUGGAUCACGUCGUGUUCGACUACAUCAUCACCGUUCUUUUAACGCUUCCGCACGCGAUCUACAAAGGUAUGUAGAUGCAUCCGAUGACUCAUUGCUAGAUGAACUCCUAGAUGGAUCUUGGUGAAACGAGUAGGAAAAUUUUUGUUUUCUGCAACGUUCCCCAACAACAACAACCAACAUGCAUCUCAUACAACUCAUGCAUACAGUCCAAGAGUGGUCAUCUCGGGGUUAUACCUUCGAAGCAUGCCUUUUCGGAACGGAUCAAGUUCGUAGCGGAAGUAGGCGUUCUCGCGACGGUAGUGGAAGUAGUGGUACAUGUUCAUUUCGGAUAGGAAUUUGAUGAAUCCACGGUCGACGGUAGUUGUACACAUGACGUUGGGGUACUUGUCGGUCCGGGUCUGGACGGUCUCGUUUUUGCGACGGUAGUGGAACUUGACGGAUCCGAGCUCUUCGAGGGUCGUCGUGAUACUCGUUCACGUUGUAGUCAUACAUGUUCAAGAAGAAACUUAUGAAGUGUCGUGGAACUUGGCAACAUGCCCGUCGACGGUAGCUGUUCUCGUGACCUCGUGGUACUUGGCGAUAUCCGUGCGUAGAGGUACUUGGCAGUCUUGUGUAGACGAACUUGAGGUACUCCGGGGCAUAGGAAUCAACGUUGCAAUGGUGGUCUCGACAUAACCAGAUCGAAGCAACGCCAAGGGGUUUCGCGCAUCGCAGAUCGAAGCAGCGGUCAUACUCAUCCUCCUGCGAGCAGAGACAAGGGCACCAUGAAGACCUAUGAGGAGCAACAAUAGCAAGGGCGUCGAGGAGGCCUAGAGCGGCGCCGGAGUCGGGAACGGGUGGAAAAUGAGGUUCCCCGGUAGCAGGGACAUCAUAUGGCGAUCCCUGGCCCGGCGGCUCAAUGCAGGGCGCGGGAGGAGGCUAGAAGGCACGGCGGCGGCCUCCUGCAAGGUCACCUGGAUGGCGAUGCGCGGGGCUUGACAUCAGCUUGGCGCGAGCGCUGGGGCCGCCGGAGUUGUCCCCUCCAAUGGUGGCGCGGGGAGGCACGGCGCUCGAGGUCGCCAACGUUCGGCAGGGACCGUAGCGAAGGAGCCGAACGGAGGGAGCCUCUGGCGUCCGGCAGGGUCGCGGUAGUGGCCUCCGACGAGGGGGGUUCUCCCGGUGGAGGCGGUGAAGGAAAUGGAUGCAGGGAGCUCCUCUCCCUGGCAGCAACAUGUGGCGGCAGCAUGGGAACGAGGGGGGUCAGCGAGGAGAUGGGAGGAUCGAGGGUGCUGCCCUAUGCGUGUGGAACUCUCCCUCCUUCUCUGAUUGCAGGGCGGCGUAGGAGGAGGACGAAGGCUCCUGCGUGCGAGGGGAAGGGUCGAUGGGGAGAGAUGGGAUCGGGAUCGGUCCUCCCUGGCGGCGCAAGGGGAAAGCGAGAGGGAGAGCUGGGGAUCGGGUAGGGUUAGAGCAGUAAGGUGGGCCGGAGUUGGAUGGGCCUAUAGGCCGGCUGGGCUGACUCUCUAUCUCUCUCGCUCUAAAGAACAAAAGAGAGAAAAAGAAAAAAAAACAGAGAUAAGAAAGAAAAAGAAAGAGAUGUUAGGGGAAAAAGUUGGACAUGUGGAUAAUUUUUACUAACUCGUAAAAAUGUGCACGGUCCACGAAAAUUAGGGGAGACAUGAUUGAAAGAUGUCAUUCAGACUCAUUUGAAUUUAAAUCAAAUGGGUUUGAACUAGGGCUUGGUUAUAGAAGUGUCCAAAAAUGUUGAGGUUUUAGGAGGAGCCUCGAUAAAAGAGAUGAGAGAUAUUGGCAAGGUUUGAAGGUCAAACUCGAAGAGGAAUAGACAUGGGAAUUAUUUUGCAUGUGUGUUACGAUGAUUCCAAAUUAAUGGAAUAUUUAUAAUAGCUCCCUAAAUAUUAGGAGGAUAAAGUUAUAAAGAGAAGUCACUCUUCCCUUGAUUUAAAUGGAUCGAAGAUCCACACAAAUUAUUUAGUUGAGAUGCAAAAGAUUUAUGACAUGAUGACAUGAUGCAAUGCACAUGAUGCAAAGAUGGAUGCAACAGACAAAACAAAUCACCCGACGAAACUCGGAAAACGUGGAAGGCAUGUGAAGCUCCGGUCUUGGGGCGUUACAAAUAUGUGGGAACCAAUAUGAGCAUCCAGGUUCUGCUAUUGGUUAUUGACUAGAGAAGAGUCUCGGUCAUGUCUACAUAGUUCUCGAACCCAUAGGGUCCGUACGCUUAACGUUUCAAUGACAAUUUUGUAUUAUAUUAGUUAUGUGAUUUGGUGACCAAAAGUUGUUCGGAGUCCCAGAUGAGAUCACGGGCAUGAUGAGGAGUCUCGAAGUGGUCGAGGGGUAAAGAUUCAUAUAUAGGAUAAUAGUAUUUGGACACCGGAAGUGUUUUGAGGCAUACCGGGUACAUAUCGGAGUACCGGGGGGUUACCGGCACCCCCCGGGGGAACAAUAGGUCUUAUGGGCCACAAGAGGGAAGCACACCAGCCCACAAAGGGGUGGUGCACCCCCCCCCCUAAGGAAGGAGGCCGAAUAGGAGAAGGAGGUGGGGGUUCGCCCCCCUUUCCUUCCUCCCCCUCUCUUCCCUUUUCAUCCUUCCGGUAAAAGGAAAGAGGGGAGGCCGAAUUGGACUAGGGCCCCAAGUGGGAUUCCUACUACUUGGGAGCCCCUUGGCUGCCUCUCCUCCCCUCCAACCUAUAUAUGCGUGGGCAGGGGGCACCGCUAGAACACACAACAUUGAUUCCUAGCCGUGUGCGGUGCCCCCUCCACAGUUUAUGCCUUCGGUUAUAUUGUCGUAGUGCUUCACUUCACCAUCAUCGUCACCACGCCGUCGUGUUGAAGAAACUCUCCCUCGACACUUUGCUAGAUCAAGAGUUCGAGGGACGUCCUGAGCUGAACGUGUGCAGAACUAGGAGGUGUCGUACGUUCGGUACUUGAUCGGUCGGAACGAGAAGAAGUUUGACUACAUCAACCGCAUUGUCAAACGCUUCCACUUUCGGUCUACGAGGGUACGUGGACACACUCUUCCCCUCUCGUUGCUAUGCAUCUCCUAGAUAGAUCUUGCAUGAGUGUAGGAUUUUUUUUGAAAUUGCAUCCUACGUUCCCUAACACAACUGCGUUGUAAAACGCUUCCGCUUACUGUCUACGAGGGUACGUAGACACACUCUCCCCACUCGUUUCAAUGCAUCUCCUAGAUAGAUCUUGCGUGUGCGUAGAAAUUUUGUUGUUUUCCAUGCAACGUUUCCCACCAAUGGGCUACCCGAAGUGGCCCAUUAGUGAACCACCAUGGGGGUCCUCGGCCUGACCCACCUGGCUGGGAGAUGAUGUGGUGAGUAUCCCCUAGUCCAUGACUCCAACAUUAUCCCCUUGAACCGAUCUUCAAGUUGGGGACGCUCCUCGAUUUUUUCGCUCAUUCCUGGACUUAUCUGUUUGACUUUCAUGAGAUUUUGAGCUUGAAGAAAACGUUGCCUGACAGAUUCAGUCACAACUACAUGCUCAUCGAGCCAUUAUUGAAUAUAAGUAGUGGCAACUAUGUUUGAUGCUGAGAUACCAAAGUAACAAGGGUUGUGACCAUAUAAAACCUCGAAGGGAGAUUUGUUAAGAGAGGAGUAACAAUUGGUAUUAUACCAUAAUUCAUAGAAGGAUAACCACUGGGCCCAUUUCUUUGGGUGUGCACUAAUAAAACACCACAAAUAACAUUCAAUUUGCUGAUUUACUCGUUCAGUCUGACCAUAACUUAGAGGAUGAUAUGCAUCGCUCAUCUUCAACUAAGAACUUGCUAGGAAUGUUUGCUAGAAUGAACUAGUAAAGAUAGGAUCCUUGUCAGAAACAACAAACAUGGGCAUACUAUGGAGUUUAUAAAUGUUGUCUAGGAAAACAUUUGCCACCUUAGUUGCUAUAAAUGGAUGCUUUAAAGGAAGAAAAUGCCCAUACUUGGUAAACUUAUCAAUGACCACAAAAAUGCAAUCAUAAUGACCAGAAGUCCAUAGACCAUAGAUAAAUCAAUGGUAACUGUAUGCCAAGCUCUAGGAGGAUCAGGGAGAGGAGCAAGUAACCUAGGAUAGGGCACUCUUUCAGGUUUAGCCUGGUGACAUAUCAAACAGGAAGCCACUCUGUCUCUGAUAAAUUGCUUCAUACCAUGCCAUCUAAAGAGAGAAUGAAUUCUCUUGUAAGUGACAGGAAAUCCAAAGUGUCCACCAACAGGACUAUCAUGGAAGGCAACAAAAAAAUUCUGCCAUAACACUGCAUUAUUGCCAAUCGAGAGACACCAUUGCUAAGAUGAUAAUGAAGUUGAGCAUCUGUUUUGACAGAUAAUUGCUGCAAAAGUUCAUAACAUUUCUAAAUUGAAUUAUACCCCUCAACUAUAUCUGACAACCAAUCUGACUGAAUAUGAACCAAACCUAGUACUUCAGUAUAAGAAUGAGGUCUUCUAGAAAGAGAGUCUGCUGCAGAAUUAUCUACUCCUUUCUUGUACACCAUUUGGUAGGAUAAUCCCAUAAGCUUUGUUAAGGCCUUCUGGUGCCACUCAGUGUGUAAUCUCUAGUUUUUUUUGACAUAGAGACUAUAAGGGAACCCCAUACAGUAUAAUUGGUGCAACAAACCCAAAUUGCAAGUACCAUGCCUUGAACCUGGGUGGGUGGGAAGGCAUCAACCCCUUCCCACCACUAGGCUAUGCCUUUGUCUACAGUGUGUAAUCUCUAGUUAUUCAGGUGAAUCAAAUUAUAACUCUUCCGUUCUGUUCUGAUGAUAAACUCUUUGACUAGUAGAUAUAGUCUCCACUAUUCUACAUCAAGAAAAAUUUCUAAGUAUUCUUUCAGUCCUAGGACCCAAUGCCUUGCUGAUAAAAGCCAGGGGAUGAUUUUCUUGCAUAAGGACUGUUCCAAUACAAAUAUCACACGCAUCAAUUUCAAUAACAAAGGGCUUGGAGAAGCCAGGAAGAUCAAAAGUUGGGGCUUGAACCAGAGCCUGCUUUAAAACCUGAAAAGCUUCUUCAGUAGCAGGAGUACAGAUGAAAAGGGCUCCUUUCUUAAGAAAAUCAGCCAAGGCUCUACUAAUGAUAGCAUAGUGUCCGAUGAAUUUCCUAUAAUAUCUAGUAAUAUCCAGUAAUACCCAAGAAACCCCUUACUUCCUUCACACAAGUAGGGACAAGACAUUGUUUAAUAAUGUCAAUUUUACCGUCAUCUGUAGCAACACCAUCUUCACUGAUAACAUGACCUAGAUAAGAAUUUUUUCUCUAUGCAAAAGCAUAUUUACUCAUUUUGACCUUCCAUUCACUAGCUGCCAUCAACUUCAACACUUCCUUAAGAUGUUUUAAAUGAUCCAGGAAUGUUUUAUUGUAAACUAGGAUAUCAUCAAAGGAAACUAGUGCACAAAAUCUCAACACAGGAGAUAAGAUAUAAUUCGUUGCUCCUUGAAAAGUAUUAGGGCCCCCAGUUAAACCCAUGGACGUAACAAGGAACUCAUAAUGACCAUUGUGUGUGGAAAAGGCAGUUUUAAACUCUUCCCUAGGAGAUAACCUUAUUUGAUGAUAGCCUGCAUUGAGAUCCAAUUUGGAAAACCAAUAAGCACCUGCCAACUCAUCCAAUUGCUUAUCAAUGACAGGAAUAGGAAAUUUUCCCUUCACAAUGAUACUAUUCAGAUGUCUGUCAUCAAUGACCACUCUCCAAGUGCCAUCCUUUUUUCCUAACUAGCAAUACUAGAGAAGAGAAGCACUAGUACUGCCCUGAUGAGACCUUGCUCCGAUAGCUCAGCAACCUGAUUUUCCAGCUCGGUUUGAAGAUGUGGAGCUACUCUAUAAGGUCUAACAGUGACUGGUAUGGCACCAGGAAUUAAGGGAAUCUGGUGAUCACAAUAUCUUCUAGGAGGUAAUCCAUCAGGAACGGAAAAAACCAAUUCAAAUUGGUCAAGAGCUUUCUAUACUUCUGGGGGAAUAGGUUCAUUGUCUUGUGCAAUAAGAGCAGACAAAGAAAUGAGAGCAAAAGUUGCAUCAUGAGGUAGCAAUCCUUGCAAUAUUACCAACUCCCAUUUAUGCAUGAAAGACAUCAAUUUCUAUGACCAAUCAACCUGCAUAGGACUAUGCAUACUUAACCAAUCAACUCCUAAGAUGCCAUCAUAAAAUCCCAACAAGGGCAAGAACUUGAAAUCAGUUUGAAACUCAGUGUUAGCAGAACCCAUGCAUAAUGAUGCAAUUGUGCUUGACAAGUCAGCUGAGUUCCACCAGCCACUAUAAUUGAAUCAGGAGGAACAAGAGCCACACCUUGUAAUUCAGACUACAGAGAUGUAUCUAAGAAAAAAGUUGUACUGCCAGAAUCUAGCAGAAACAGUAAUUGCUUGCCAUGAAACUGCACAGUUAACUUAAUAGUAUGAAGAGAAGUAGUAGUGCCCAGAGAAGCCUCAGAAAUUGACAUAACAUGCUCAUAAGAAACAUAGCUAUCUGCAACACUGGAGUUAGUGGAACUAGAGUCCAAAUGAUCUAUGAGUUCCUACACAAAAUGCAACUGGACAGAACUUUUAUACUGAUGGUCUCGAGACCAUUUCCCCCCACAAAUGAAACAUAAUCCUUUGGAUUUACAAAAUGCUCUAAGUGUUGCCCAUUUAUCAUCCGGAGGAGCAUGUUUUGUAGGAACAUGAACAGUGGAAUUGUCGGCAACAGAUGAUUUAGCAACAGUAGCUGGAGUGUCAGAGAAUCUCUUCUUAGGAAAUGAUUGCACAAGAGAAGGAGAACAGAGCUCACAAAGCUCACUCAAUUCCACAUGGAGCAGGGCCAACUCGUAAGUAGCGUCCAAAUCCUUAGUUUUCUGCAUCACCACGGAACGAGGAACAUCAAGUUUCAGACCUUCCUGGAAACGAGUGACAUAGUGCAGUGGAUCUAGAGAAGACUCAUAAGCAGUCAAUUGAUCAUACAAUUCAGAAAAGUGCUCCAGAUAAUCAAUAAUCGAAGUAAGUUGAGUAAUAUGGAAGAGUGUACGGAUCAAAGCCUGAUGCUCAUUCCAACCAAAGCGUGUAUGCAAUAAUUGACAAAAAUCACUCCAGGUUGCACGAGGAGCACGAUGUUGAACAGAUUCGAGCUAACGAGCGGCUGCCCACUCAAACUGAGCGGAAGCAUACUUAAUACAAAGAUGAGCCAGGGUACCCCACAUAGAAAAUUAAUCUCACAUUGUGAUUGCCACAAACGAGGAUGACUACCAUCGAAUCGGGGCAAUUCAACACAAGGUGCAGAUAACAACAGCUCCGGUUCGGACUGGGGAUGAACAGCGAGAGUAAUAGGCAUCGAUAAUCGGUUAUGCACACCUGGAAAAUGCGGAGGCACGUAGAAAUUGGACGGCCUCGGGUGUUGAUCCUUGUCACCGCGACCAUUAGCUUGCAACUGGUCGGCGGUACCUGACGACGCAUCAUCCACGUGGGAGGAGAAGGUGCUAGGGGAACGUUGCGGCUCCGUGCGAGCACCCUUGUCCUCGGGGAGACGCAGUUGUGCAAUGUCGACACCGAGAUCCUCACGCACCACAUCAAUCUUCGACGUCAAGGACCCAUUAAUCCGCACCACAUUGAGCAAGGAACUACUCAGAUCCGCACCCUGAUGUGUGUUGUCGAGCAUCUUCUACACGCACUUGAGGACACAGUCCUGGCUCGCAUAGAAGCGGAAGUCGACGUUGGUGGUGAUGUCGGCGCGAAAUAUAUCAUACAACGCCUUAGACUCCGACGAUAGUGCCUCCAUGGCCGCUUCUCACCGGCGAGCUCGAAAGCACGUGCGGUGGUGGUGCGAGGGAAGAUCCAGGAUAUCGAACUAUAUUUGAUACUAGGUGUUAGGUACGAGCUACUCUUCCUCUACCCGAACUGCAGCCAAGCUUGAAAACGGAGAUUCGUGGACGAAAUCGAAAAGGUUGGAGAUGAAGAUUCAUGGAUGAAAUUGAAAGGAAGCUUGCUGUUCCACCCAACCUCCCACAUACUGAGUUCAAAUUACAACAUGUAACACCCCGAGAAUCGUGCUACAGUAACUCCACACUAAUGAUGCCAAGUCAUCAUCAUCAUGCCCUAAGAAAAAUAAUUAAGAAUACAUCAACCUCAAUUUCAAAUUUAAAAUGCAAGUCAAAUAUUUAUUUCUUCAAGCAGUAAAACAAAAAUGUUCACUUUGUCCUAUAAAUUCCCAUAACCAAUUUCAUGUUGGAACCAGCCUCUUUUGAGUUCCCAAAAUCCCUCUGGGUAUUAAUUUAGUGCUCUAACAGCAAUUCAAUUGGCCUUUUCAAUUUCUAAAAAUGGUUAGACAACUCCUUCUGAAUCCAAACUUUUUGUUCCAUCUCAAGAUAUCGUGCUAGAAUUAUGUGCCAAGUUUUGUUCAAAAUAACUCAAUUGGUACUAAAAGAAAAUGCAAAAUAGGUCAAUAAAAAGAAAAAUAGUAAAGGAAAGCUAAAAAUAAAAAGAAGGAAAAAGAGCCCACUGUGCGCUGGGCCAAGUGCAUAGUGGCGGCCCAGCCUCCCUUCCCCCGUUGUCUUCUUCCUCGCUAUAGAGAAGCAGGGGAGGUGGUGGCCAUCCACCGGCCAGGGCGUCACCGUGUCGGCCACCCGCCGCUCCUCGGCAAGGAUAAGGCAAGCCGGCUCUCACCCCCUCCUAACCCUAGCGCCCACUUCCCCCUCUCCCUCUCCCUGGAGCUCGCCCACUCCUCCGUUCUCUCUGCCGAGAACAACCAAGCAUGGCCACCGCCACAUCUCCGUCGACCCCGCGACCACGGAGCCCUUCCGACCCCGCUGAUCUGUCUGGGAGCCCCAGCGUCGUCGACCCCUUCGUCCGGUGUCGUUGGAUCAAGUCGGGGAGCAGCACAGCAACGCCGGCGACCUGAUCCCCUUCUCCGGCCAUCGCGACGCCGUCGCAGCGAUUCCUCACCAUCUCCGCUCCUAAGCUAUCGACGAGCCACCCCGUGCGCUCGUCGGUGAGCACCACACGUCCUCCCCCCUCUCCUCUACUCUCCUUUCUGUCCCCGUAACCUAGCUAGCCACCAUGGCCGUAGGACGUCUCCGUCGUGCCGUUCGUCGCCAUUGUUUCGGUUGACAUUGAGCUCGAUUAGGUUCUCGGUCGUGCUCCUCGAUGCCGUAGGGACCCGCAUCACCCUCCAGUUCAUGCAAUCGCCCUCUCUAGUGUCAUUUCCGUCGUUGCCCAGAAGCCGUCGCCGCUGCAGCUCGUCACCGGUGGCCUUUCCGGCCUCCCCAGCUGCUACAGCAGUCGCCACUCGACGUGGCUUGUUCACCGCGUUCGAACGGCGCCUCUCGCGCGUCAAAUAGACGUCGGACGGCUGUUUCCGAACCUCGCCGGUGAUGCGCCACCGUGAAAUGGCCCGUCGGAGUUACUCUGGUCACCAGCGCCAGCGUGGGCUGACGAGGACGCCUUGGGCCCUCCCCCUGAGCCACUGACCAUGGGCCCAUGGGGCCCUGUUGACUAAGUUGACUCAGUCAACUCUACUGACUAGACCAGCCCGUGCAACUGACAGAAGGGGGCCACUGCCCCCUAAUUAACGAAAUUAAUUAAGCUAAAUUAGUUAACAUAAUUAGACACUGACAGGUGGGCCCAUUAGUUUAACUAACUAUGUUUAGAUUAGUUUUUUGACUCUAUUUAACCCACUGUCUAUGACGAGCGGGCCCCACUAGUCAUUUUGACAAGUCAACCAGUCUGUUGACUACUGAUGUCAUCCCCAUGCAAUGCUGAUUCAUCAGUCCAUUUCUGUUAAUUUAGAUAAAUCCAGGAAAAUGUUUAAAUCUUUUAAAAUUCAUAGAAAAUAAACCGUAACUCAGAUGAAAAUGUUUUCUACAUGAAAAUUGCUCAGAAAAAUGAGACGAACCCAAAUACGCUACCCACAUACCUGUCAGAUGGCUCUAACUAUCUGAACAUGGAACAUUCCCCCUUCGGUCAUCUGUCUGACACAGGUCCGGAACCGAGAAAACAUUCCCUAUUGAAUUCCCCCUUUACCUAUAUCGUGUAGCCAUACGUUAGGUCGCACCCGGCACAGCAUAUUGCCAUGUUAUGCUUUCUGAUGCUCUGUUUGCUUUAUAUUUAUUGUUUCCUCCCCCUCUUCUCUCCAGUAGACCCCGAGACCGAUGCCGCCCCUGUGAUCGACUACGUUGAUGACACUUCUUCUUUUUCAGCAGAGCUUCCAGGCAAGCAACCCCCCCCCCCACUUGAGCAUUCCGAUAUCGCCCAUUUCUUUCCCUCUCAUGAUUGCGUUAGAACUGCUACUGCAUUUUGUAUGAUCCUACUCUGAUGCAUAGCAUGUUUUUGUUACCUUCUUUCAUACCUUACCUGCUUAUUCUAUACUGCUUAGUAUAGGUUGGUUAGUGAUCCAUCAGUGACCCCCACCUUGUCCUUGUUGCCCCUGCUUCUUCAUCGAAGACCCGAUCAACGGGAUCGAAGACCAGGCACCGCACAUCCGUUUCCCCUUUUGUUGCUCGACUCUGCAGAGUUACCAUCGAGUGCCGAGGGUGGAACCUCAUACAUCACUCCUGAUGAGAUCUCUUUUGUGUAGCUAUCCGGUCAUGGUCAUCGAGGCUGAUUUCCUCCUUAACCACUUCCGAUACGGCUCUGUCGUGCAACCCCUCAAGUGUGAUCCUCGAGGGUGGAUCCUCUUACGUUCACCUUGAUGAUUACAUCGAGUGGAAUUCACCGGGGGUGAUUCCUCGGGUUUUCCCCUUGGUGUUAGACACACAGUUACUAUGGUUACUAUGACUUUACACUGAACCAUGUUACUAAAGAUGGGUCGGCCCUGAGGGUACCAGCGCGAGCUUAAUAGCGAGUGAUGUGGAGUCGGGUUGACCUGGAAGGUGCCGCGAGAUACUUACGAGGCGUGUCCGGGCAUUCUUAGCCCUUGCCACAAGUACUCGAGACGGGGCGACGGGGUCACAUCUUUAGUGAGUCUUUGCUCGUGACCGCACUACCAACACACUAACGGUUUGGAUAUUUGAUCCUAGGGGCCUCUGGCCUGAUAGCAUUAACCAUCACGUGGGCAUUGUAUGGGCGUUCUGCAUCGUAUGCAUCAGCCGAAGCUUAAUAGACGUCAACGACUGAGCGGCGCGCGCCGGGUUGGACUGGUAAGCACCUGCCUUUUUGAAGGAGGUAGCUAGGUCUGCUCACCGGCCACGUUUGCAACAUGCAGGAGUUCCCAGGGCGAUGGUCCAUGACCCCUGGGGGCAUAGGUUUAGCCCGUCAUGCUUGACCUCUCUAUUAAGCCUAGGUCAGAUUACGGCGUAUUGUUUGGCCGAGGCCGGGCAUGACCCAGGAAAGUGUGUCCGGCCGGAGUUAAUCGAGCAUGGUGGGUAAGUUGGUGCACCCCUGCAGGGAAAAACAUCUAUCGAUAGCCUAUCCUACGGUAACGGACACUUGGAGUUGUAUCCCGAUUGAUACAACUAGAACUGGAUACUUUAGGUGAUAACUGGAUAGUAUGGCUCUGGGAUUGCUUUCUCGUAGGGAAUCGAGAAAGGAUCUCUGGCCGAGGUUGAUAACACUACUACUACUGUACAUUAUGUUGAUCUGUACUCUUCUAAAUGCUGCAAGAUGCUUGAAGAUUCUUGUCUUCGAUAGGCUAGGCUUUCCCCUUCUCUUCUGGCAUUCUGCAGUUUAGUCCACAAAUACAGUCCAUUCCUUUGAUACAGAUGCAUUUUAAUUUAGAUCUAAUGUAAGUCUUGCAAGUACUUUGGAUGAGUACUCACGGCUGCUUUGCUACCUCCUUUCCCCCAUACCCGAUUGUUGCAAUCAGAUGACGGAUCCUAAGAGCCAGAUGACACCACUGAUGACUACUGCUACCCUGAGGGUGCCUACUACUACGUGACGGCCGCUGACGACUUGGAGUAGUUAGGAGGCUCCCAGGGAGGAGGCCUUCCCUUUUCGAUCGAUGUUGCUUUUGUGCUAGCCUUCUUAAGGAAGACUCGUUUAACUUAUGUCUGUACUCAGAUAUUGUUGCUUCCGCUGACUCUUGUGUAUUCGAGCUGAUGUAUUCGAGCCCUCGAGGCCCCUGGCUUGUAACAUAAAGCUUGUAUUAUUUUAAUUUGUGUCUAGAGUUGUGUUGUGAUAUCUUCCCGUGAGUCCUUGAUCUUGAUCAUACACAUUUGUGUGUAUGAUUAGUGUGCGAUUGAGUCGGGGGCAUCACAAGUUGGUAUCAGAGCCAACUUCCUGUAGGUAUCCCCCUUUCCAACUCCUUAGCCGAAGUUGAGUCUAGAAACCCAAAACGGUUUUACUAACUUGGCUGUGUGGCUUACGGGCCCAUGUCGCCAUCAGGUGGUAUUAUGAUCUUUUAUUCCUCGUCUCAAUGUUGGGGAUAUCGCUUAUCGAGAACUUAUCGGUCGACCCAUGAUAAGGGGUAAAUCGGCAAGUUUAUCGGCAUAUUGGCCGAUUUAUCGCCAUAUCGGCUGAUUUAUCGGCCGAUUUAUCGCCAUAUCGGCUGAUUUAUCGGCCGAUUUAUCUUAUCGGCCAGACAACGAUAAGCGAUAAAUCGGCCGAUUUAUGAGAAUAUUGAAAGAUAUCUUGAACAGUGCCUCGUCUAUACUCUGGGACUCUGAUCUCUCGUCUAUUCGGGUUAAAUAUUUUUCUAAUACUGACACUAGGUUCUCAUAACCACUUCUCAUGGAGAGCCCCUUCAGUCUAGAUGAUCGUUUGCUGCACCAGAAGAUUUCAAAGAUACUCUCCGAUGUUUCCCCAAAACCCUUGUGCCUUCGGCGUUGCAAUUCCAUAUCACCGAUAAAUCCCUAAGGAUAGCUGCAUAUACUUGUUGUCCAUACCUUCAUUUCCAAUUGUUCUUGUUAUUACAAGUUACCCUGAAAUACUUCGGAUAUUCCGAGAAUCCUUUGUGCCUGCUGCCUUGCAGCUCCUUUCCGCAUGAAUACAUGUAUGAAUAAUUCCCCACACUUACCGGGGAUCUGUUCAUCCCCGGUUAUUCAUGUGUUUCACAAAUUCUUUGGAAUACUAUUUGAUCUUCCGAUAAUCCUCAGUAACCUAUUGCUCCUGUUCUUCCUUAUCGUCUUGCAUUAUGGGUAAUUCCAUAUACCUAACAAUAUUCAUUAGACUCCUUUGAGAUUGUCAUUCUUAUCCUAUUGAUUCAACAUGUGCGUGAGUGCACACAUUCAUUAGUUAUUUCCCUGGUAAUUAUUUAUCCUUCUCGCUCAGACUCCACUCCGGACAUGAGCUGGUUCUUGACAAAUCAAACCUUGGUUGAUUGCCGUUCUAAUUCUAUUCAACUUACCCAUCAUUUGAUCAGAGCGUCUGCUUCUGAUCCUUCAUUUUGGAAAUCAUAAUUCCUUUGUUAAUCAAACUUUGAAUUAGUCGGUUGUUUCUAUAAUCUCCAUCUCCUUGCAUUCUUUCUUCAUCUGGUUGGGUACCGAUACCCACUACAGCUUUGUUAUGGGUCAUCAGAUCCUUUGUUGGACUACCAUCCAACAGUGUCCUUCAUAUUUAAUCACCUUGUGAAUUCUUCCCUGAUACAUAAUGCCUUUGGUAAAUUGUAUCCCCUACUUUUGUCUACCAUGCUUUGCUUCUGAGCUUCAGUUAAUUACCUCUGAAGUUUUAGCAAAUGUUCCUAAGAUGCCCCGAUGGGUUGAACUAAUGCUUUCCCUAAUUUGUGUGAACCCAAAAAUUUCUAUGGGUCAUACUCUACUGGUGUUACGCCGGAUAAAAAUUUCUACACUACAACUUCGUCAAAAGCGAGAAGUAAAUGAGAGGGUAUGCAUUGAAGAAGUGGGAGUUGACCUUCAACCUUUGUGUUCAUGCCCAUGGACCCGAUGCAGAACUUAUCAUGGAAGCUGCUCAUAAAUAUAAUUAUUUCUUUGGUACAAGCUCAUCUUGUAUCUAUGAAUUGAUCCUUUGCAACCGUGGUUUUGACCAUGAUUGCUCCCAUUUGAUUUCAUUUCUUGGACAAGUUAAAGCGCUUGUCUUCUGUAGAUAAAUGCAUCUUCGCAACCUCUAUUUUGAUCUUCCAUCGAGCAUCUCCCUCCGGUAUCUUGAGAAUAACAAAUAACCGUGUUGCUUCCUAUGAGUCUUCAUCUGGUAUUGCUUCUCAUCAAUUUCUUAUUUCCCUGGGUUUUGAGUUGUUAGUCACUCGAGAACACCGAUAAGUGAAUCGAUUCCACACUCCGAUUCUAUAACUCUUAAGUAAUUUCCGUUGCUUAUGAGUUUAAUAAUCCUUCAAGUCAUUCCUAGCCUGUUAGACUAUAUCAUUUUCAUUAUGAUUUUAACUAUGUUACCUGGUCCUUCUUCUCGGAGCACAAAAUUCGACGGUGAGGUAAUCUUACAUCGAUCUUCCUCAUCAUAUCUUUUCGCCUUGAACAACAAGCUGGAUUUCUAGUUUGUGUCGUAUCCGUGGUUCUAGUAACCUUUCGCUUCACCAUUCCUUGACUUGAUGUCAUCGCCGAUUGAUUACAUCUUCAUGAAAUCUCUCGAUAAAUGUGUCGUGAUCAUCAUCAACAUCAUGAGCUCUUCCAGGAUAUUAAUCGAAUUCAUGAUGAGAAAUGCAAUCCUUGCCCCUCAAUGAUUUGUGUUAUCAUCGACAACAUCCUUGCCUUCCCCAACACAAACUUGUUCAUAUAAUUCUGGGGAUACAUCCUUUUUGACAUAUUGAUGGAUUGUUGCCGAGCCCGUCGGCCACACCCUCAUCUUUUCCUUGCUGAAAUUGUAUGUCUUAUUUUCUAAGUGGUUUCUGAUGGAUCCUUUGUGUAUCCAAAAUCUGACCUUUGCUUGAAGACCAUGCCAAUGAUAUCUGUAAGCAUGACUGUGGUACUCAAACCUCAACAAGAGCAUUGGAAGUGUAAUGCUAAGUUUUCUUUAUCCAAACACAGUUGUAUGGGUAACGACAUGAAAUUCCUCUCCCCUUACCUAAAUGGUUUUCUACUUUAUAUCCUGUCAUGGAUGUCAUGCUCUGCUUGUCCUUGGGAAGGAUAUACCCCCGAAAUAUGUGUUUAAACACAUUUUCCUUUCCAUUGUUCUGUUUAAUCUGAUGAUCACCUUUUCCUUUCCAUUGUUUUGUUUAACCUUUCUGGUGAUCUAUAUGAUCUAAGCAGUAAUAUUCUUCUGCUUAUGUAAACACCUUGCUGUACAACCGUGUCAGUAAGACCCUGUUGCUUUUGUUGAUGGCAUUCUGGUAACCACCGAUGGACGAGAACUUUGCCUAUAGGUCCGCCUAGUUUCAACGAGCAGGAAAAUGGUUCUCUUCGUCCCUCUCCCUUGGUAACAUUGUUGCUAACAUAACUGACAGGCUAUUCCCUAACAGGCCUUGCUUUCAUGACCACACAAUAUGUGAGUGCCCUUCCUACUUUUAUCCCACGUGGUGAGGCCAUAACCCACAACUCCACAAGAUCAAAAACCGACUCUCAUGUACACCCUUGUCUCCAAAGUAAUUACUCACGCUUGGCUUCGUAUGUAAAUCACGAGCCACCUUCCUAGAGAUGAUCUACUCUAGUAUCAAACGCGAUACUUAAUUUUGUUGCUCUGAACCACCUUUCUCACACUCUGUUCAGGUAUCAAUCGUUUGUCCAUUCGCUUGAAACUUCCUAUUGUACCUUCAUACUUUGCUCUCGAUGUUUUAUUAAGUUUCAACUCGAGAGAUACUUCUGCCUCACUCCUUGAAUUGUUCACCAGAUAAUUAACCCUAUAAGGGUUAGUUCUCCUGAACUUACUCUUUAUUCCCCCUCUUAAUUCUCGGGACGAGAUUUCUUGUAGUAGAGGAGACUUGUAACACCCCGAGAAUUGUGCUACAGUAACUCGACACUAAUGAUGCCAAGUCAUCAUCAUCAUGCCCUAAGAAAAAUAAUUAAGAAUACUUCAACCUCAAUUUCAAAUUUAAAAUGCAAGUCAAAUAUUUAUUUCUUCAAGCAGUAAAACAAAAAUGUUCACUUUGUCCUAUAAAUUCCCCUAACCAUUUUCAUGUUGGAACCAGCCUCUUUUGAAUUCCCAAAAUCCCUCUGGGUAUUAAUUUAGUGCUCUUGCAGCAAUUGAAUUGGCCUUUUCAAUUUCUAAAAAUGGUUAGACAACUCCUUUUGAAUCCAAACUUUUUGUUCCAUCUCAAGAUAUCGUGCUAGAAUUAUGUGCCAAGUUUUGUUCAAAAAAACUCAAUUGGUACUAAAAGAAAAUGCAAAACAUGUCAAUAAAAAGGCAAAUAGUAAAGGAAAGCUAAAAAUAAAAAGAAGGAAAAAGAGCCCACUGUGCACUGGGCCAAGUGCACAGUGGCGGCCCAGCCUGCGUCCCCUCAUUGUCUUCUUCCUCGCUACAUAGAAGCAGGGGAGGUGGUGGCCAUCCAUCGGCCAGGGCAUCACCGUGUCUGGCCUCCGCCACUCCCUGGCAAGGAUAAGGCAUGCCCCGGCUCUCUCCCCCUCCUAACCCUAGCGCCCACUUCCCCCUCUCCCUCUCCCUCUCCCUGGAGCUCGCCCACUCCUCCAUUCUCUCUGCCGAGCACAACCGAGUGUGGCCGCCACCACAUCUCCGUCGACCCCACGGCCACGAAGCCCUUCCGACCCUGCCGAUCUGUCCGGGAGCCCCAGCAUCAUCGACCCCUUCAUCUGGUGUCGUUGGAUCAAGUCGGGGAGCAGCACAACAACGCCGGCGACCCGAUCCCCUUCUCCAGCCAUCGCGACGCCGUCGCCAUGAUUCCUCGCCAUCUGCGCUCCUAAGCUGUCAACGAGCCACCCGUGCGCUCCUCGGUGAGCACCGCACGUCCUCUGCCCUCUCCCCUGCUCCUUUCCGUCCCCGUAAUCCAGCUAGCCACUGUGGCCGUAGGACGUCUCCGCCGCGCCGUUUGCCGCCAUCGUUUCGGUCGACAUUGAGCUUGAUCAGGUUCUCGGUUGUGCUCCUCGACGCCGUAGGGACCCACAGCACCCUCCAGUUCGUGCAACCGCCCUCUCUAGCGUCAUUUCCGUCGUUGCCCAGAAGCCGCUGCCGUUGCAGCUCGUCGCCGGUGCCCUUUCUGGCCUCCCCAGCUGCUGCCGCGGGCGCCACUCGACGUGGCUCAUUCAUCGUGUCUGAACGGCGCCUCUCGUGCAUCAUAUAGAUGCCAGACAGCUGUUUCUGAACCUCACCGGUGAUGCGCCGCCGCGAAACGGCCCAUCGGAGUUACUCCGGUCACCAGCGCCGGCGUGGGCUGACAAGGACGCCUGGGGCUCACCCCCUGAGCCACUGACCGUGGGCCCAUGGGGCCUUGUUGACUGAGUUGACUCAGUCAACUCUGCUGACUGGACCGGCCCGUGCAACUCACAGAAGAGGCCCACUACCCCCUAAUUAAUGAAAUUAAGCUAAAUUAUUUAACAAAAUUAGACACUGAUAGGUGGGCCCAGUAGUUUAACUAACUAUGUUUAGAUUAGUAACUCUAUUUAACCCACUAUCUAUGACGAGCGGGCCCCACUGGUCAUUUUGACCAGUCAACCAGUCUGUUGACUGCUGAUGUCAUCCCCAAUGCAAUGUUGAUGUCAUAAGUCCAUUUCUGUUAAUUUAGAUAAAUCCAGAAAAUGUUUAAAUCUUUUAAAAUUCAUAGAAAAUAAACCGUAACUCGGAUGAAAAUGUUUUCUACAUGAAAAUUGCUGAGGAAAACGAGACGAACAUGAAUACGCUACCCACAUACCUGUCGGAUGCUUCUAACUAUCUGAACAUGGAACAUUCCCCCUCCAGUCAUCUGUCUGACACAGGUCCGGAACCGGGAAAACAUUCUUGGUUGAAUUCCCCCUUUACCUAUAUCAUGUAGCCAUACGUUAGGUCACACCCAGCACAUCAUAUUGCCAUGUUAUGCUUUGUGAUGCUCUGUUUGCUUUAUAUUUAUUGUUUCUUCCCCCUCUUCUCUCUGGUAGACCCCGAGACCGACGUCGCCCCUGUGAUCGACUACGUCGAUGACACUUCUUCUUUUUCACCAGAGCUUCCAGGAAAGCAACCCCCCCCUUGAGCAUUCCGAUAUCGCCCAUUGCUUUCCCUCUCAUGCUUGCAUUAGAACUGCUACUGCUUUCUAUAUGAUCCUACUCUGAUGCAUAGCCUGUUUUUGUUACCUGCUUUCGUACCUUACCUGCUUAUUCUAAACUGCUUAGUAUAGGUUGGUUAGUGAUCCAUCAGUGACCCCGACCUUGUCCUUGUUGCCCCUGAUUCAUCAUCGAAGACCCGAUCAACGGGAUCGAAGACCAGGCACCGCACAUCACUUUCCCCUUUUGUUGCUCGACUCUGCAGAGUUACCAUCGAGUGACGAGGGUGGAACCUCAUACAUCACUCCUGAUGAGAUCUCUGUAGUGUAGCUAUCCGGUCAUGGUCAUCGAGGGUGAUUUCCUCCUUAACCACUUCCGAUACGGCUCUGUCAUGCAACCCCUCAAGUGUGAACCUUGAGGGUGGAUCCUCUUAAGUUCACCUUGAUGAUUACAUCGAGUGGAAUUCACCAGAGGUGAUUCCUCGGGUUUUCCACUUGGUGUUAGACGCACAGUUACUAUGGUUACUAUGACUUUACACUGAAUCAUGUUACUAAAGACGAGUCGGCCCUAAGGGGUACCAGCGCGAGCUUAAUAGCGAGUGAUGUGGAGUCGGGUUGACCUGGAAGGUUCCCGCGAGAUACUUACAAGGCGUGGCCGGGCAUUCUUAGCCCUUAUUGCAAGUACUCGAGACGGGGCGACAGGGUCACAUCUUUCGUGAGUCUCUGCUCGUGACCGCACUACCAACACACUAACGGUUUGGAUAUUUGAUCCUAGGGGCCUCUGGCCUGAUAGCACUAACCAUCACGUGGGCAUUGUAUGGGCGUUCUGCGUCGUAUGCAUCAGCCGAAGCUUAAUAGACGUCAGCGACUGAGCGGCGCGCGCCGGGUUGGACUGGUAAGCACCUGCCUUUUUGAAGGAGGUAGCUAGGUCUGCUCACCGGCCGCGUUUGCAACGUGCAGGAGUUCUCGGGGCGAUGGCCCAUGACCCCUGGGGGCAUAGGUUUAGCCCGGCGUGCUUGACCUCUCUAUUAAGCCUAGGUCGGAUUGUGGUGUAUUGUUUGGCCGAGGCCAAGCAUGACCCAGGAAAGUGUGUUCGGCCGGAGUUAAUCGAGCGUGGUGGGUAAGUUGGUGCACCCCUACAGGGAAGAAAACAUCUACCGAUAGGCUGUCCUACGGUAAUGGACACUUGGAGUUGUAUCCCGAUUGAUACAACUAGAACUGGAUACUUGAGGUGAUAACUGGAUAGUAUGGCUCUGGGAUUGCUUUCUCGUAGGGAGUCGAGAAAGUAUCUCUGGCCAAGGUUGAUAACACUACUACUACUUUACAUUAUGUUGAUCUGUACUCUUCUAAAGGCUGCAAGAUGCUUGAAGAUGCUAGUCUUCGAUAGGCUAGGCUUUCCCCUUCUCUUCUGGCAUUCUGCAGUUUAGUCCAUGGAUACAGUCCAUUCCUUUGAUACAGAUGCAUUUUAGUUUAGAUCUGAUGUAAGUCUUGCGAGUACUUUGGAUAAGUACUCACGGCUGCUUUGCUACCUCCUUUCCCCCAUACCCGAUUGUUGCGACCAGAUGACGGAUCCUAGGAGCCAGACGACACCACUGAUGACUACUGCUACCCUGAGGGUGCCUACUACUACGUGACGGCCGCUGAUGACUUGGAGUAGUUAGGAGGCUCCCAGGCAGGAGGCCUUGCCUUUUCGAUCGAUGUUACUUUUGUGCUAGCCUUCUUUAGGCAGACUUGUUUAACUUAUGUCUGUACUAAGAUAUUGUUGCUUCCGCUGACUCUUGUGUAUUCGAGCUGAUGUAUUCGAGCCCUUGAGGCCCCUGGCUUGUAACAUAAAGCUUGUAUUAUUUUAAUUUGUGUCUAGAGUUGUGUUGUGAUAUCUUCCCGUGAGUCCUUGAUCUUGAUCGUACACAUUUGCGUGUAUGAUUAGUGUACGAUUGAGUCUGGAGCGUCACACAACACAACUUAGUCAUUUGUUCCUUCCUACCCUAUCCUCACACGAGUCGCGUAUAUAUAUGUAUCCACCCCGCGGAGCCCACCCUGGGACGUACUCGCUGAACAACGCAAAUAACUAAUCAUCCGUGGGCUCGUUGGCUGAACCGAGCGGCCGCCCUCACAGCGCAUGCACGUGUAAAAGUUUUGUCCUUUAGCGGAUGUAUGCCAUGGCAUUAAAUGCGUCCACACUAGUCACUUUGAUAUACAGAAAACAGAUGUACCUGCAUUUAUUUCUGGUUUUUAAAUUUGUAAAAAGCCAUAUCUUUUGAAGCGUGUGCCUGAAUUCAGAUCCGUUUUCAUCGUUGAAAUCCUUACGGCAAUAUGUUUCAAACUAGAUCAUGUAUGGGUAUAUUUUGAUGAAAUAUUAUCAAGGCCAACUUUGAUGCUAUAUGGUGAAACUUUGUUACUACAUGGUGCAACUUUAGUACUACAUGGUGCAACUUUAGUACUACAUAGUGCAAUUUUUUAAAAUUGUUUUUUAGAGCUGGAUGAUCCAACUUCCUGUGAUGUUGCAACCUAACAACCAUGACAACCAACUUUGUAUGAUGUGCAAGUAGUCUACUGCCCCAACCAACUACCUAGUAGUCGAUGUGCACCCCCCAAAUAAUGUGGAUGUGUAAUAUUUCAUGCACAACCUGUUCCUCCCACCCUGCCAGCAAUAUGUGCAACUUAGUCUGUUAUUCCAUCCAACUACCUAGUAGUCGAUGUGCAACACCUUCCUCUUUCUACUUGUGAAUGUGUAGUUUUAGUUGGCGGGAGCAACAUAUGGAGUUGCACAUAGUUUGCUAGGCAGUUGGUUGGGGCAACAGGCGAAGUUGCACAUCUCACUGGCAGGGAGAGUUGGAUGGCGAAAACUACACAUCCAUGGGGGCACUAAAAAGAUCCAUAUAGAUGGGGCACUAAAGUUGCACAUCUCACUAGUAGGGGUGGUUCGGACGGGGUGCCAGCAGGGAAAACUACACAUCCAUGGGUUACAGGGACAGUUGCACAUCACUGUUAGGAAGUUGAUCGGGGAAGAAUCCAAAGUUGCACAUCCACUGUUAGAUAGCUAACUGAGGCAGCAAAUAGUGAAAUCCACACAUCCACGGGCAAGGAAAAGUUGCACAUCAACUACUAGGCAGUUGACAUGCGCAACAAAAGUUGCACAUCUUAUUGUUAGGGGGUAGGCUAGGGGAGGUGCCAUCACUGACAACUACACGUCCAUGAGUAGGGGCAAAGUUGCACAUUGACUCUUAGAUAGUUACACAUCGACUACUAGGCAGUUUCCCCUAAUAGAGAUUGAAUUGCACAUAAUAUUUUUUUGAAAUAUACUCAUGCGGGAUCUAGUUUCAAAGAGCACAUCAUGCGGGUUCCAAUGGUGAAAGCAGAUCUUAAUUCCGAUGUUCGACUCAAGAGUUAUGAGUUCUUUUAGAAAAAUCAAAACCCCGAAUAAAAUGCGUUCACAUAUGUUCGCACGUGUGAAAACUGCACGUUCAUAAGUAAGGAGAAUGUUGCACAUCGACUGUCAUGUACUCCCUCCGUUCUGAAUUACUUGUCGUAGGUAUGGAUGUAUCUAGAUGUAUUUUAGUUUUAGAUACAUUCAUUUCUGCGACGAGUAAUUUGGAACGGAGGGAGUAGUUGCACAGUGACUACUAGAUAGUUGCAUCAAACGGGAAGUAAGUUGCACACACAAAAAUUUCAUCAAAAUAUAGCCAUGUGGGAUCUAAUUUUAAAGAGCACGUCGCGAGGAUUCCAACGAUGAAAACGGAUCUUAGUUCUGACGCGAGGAUUGAAAGUUAUGCCGUUUUAAAUUUUUAAAACCACGAAUUAAAUGUACAAGAGAACAAAACGCAUGCAUUCUAGGUGAUAGUUGUUCGGGCAUUUAGUACACCGUGAAGAAAAGGAUCAGGUGAUUUUUUUUCAUUAGAAAUAAAAGAACAAUAAGAACAAACCAUUUUUUGUAGAUUAAGGACCAAUUUUUUUUGUUUUCUGGCCAACUGCUUCAGAACGCUAGGGAGCAGCCGGCCGCUGUGUAGACGUGUCCGCUGAAUAAUGGGGUCCACCUCGCAAAAGAAUAUGGUGGCUGCUACGGAUCAGUCGGCUGAUAACAGCUAAACCUAAGCCGCCUGAUCAGCCCUUGAUUCGCGCAGGUAUAUUGUGAUUUCAGCCGCUCGAUCCCCUCAUGACAGGACUACGCGAAGUACCACACCAUCGCGUCCAUCCCCAACCUGCCAUCAGGUGUGCUGCAGAUGCACCGUCCCCGAGUCAACGCGCUGCACACGUAGCUCCGGCAGAAGCUACAGCACCCUCCAUUGCAGCACCAGCAUUGCUCCGUUGGUCCGUUGAUGCUUCAUUGCCGCCGGCGAGUGCUGCGAUGCAGCACCGGAAGCGCCACGUCGAGCAUGAGGAGCCGCCGGUGAAGCUCCAAUGCAGCAUGGGAAGCGCUUCAUCGGAGCACGGGGAGCCGCCGGCGAGCGCGGCAAUGCAGCACAAGGAACCGCCAAGAGAGUGCUGCAUCGGAGCAUUGGGAGCUACAGGCGAGCACUGCGAUGAGACACCGGGAACCACCGCGAGAGUGCUGCAUAGGAGCAUGGGGAGCCGUCGGCGAGCGCUUCAUUGCAGCUCCGGCACCGGCGAAGUUGCAUGGCAGCGUGAGCACGCCGACAAGGUUGCAUUGCAGCAUGGUGGCCGUGGUCGAGCGCCGCGUCACAUCGCCGGCGGCACCGAUGAGCGGUAAAAAGCUCGGUGGUUCUUCCAUUGGAAGCUUCGUUGCAACGCCAGUGGGGCAUGUGUCAAAACCUCCCUUGGUUCACGGCAGUGAGGGAUGGUGGUCAUCGUUGGGAGCGUCUCUCCAUGGCGGGCGUGAAGAACGGAAAAGAGGAAGAGGAAUAAAUGUGUAGAGAAGACUAGCAGAGCCCGCGCGGCGACAUGCCGCGCCUGUCGAUCAGUCGCGGUUAUGUAGACUGUAGUCCAAGCAAUAGAGUAAUAAAUAAUUCAUGAAAACAACUGUCGAUAGUCCAUUUGCCAGAUAACAUUUAAAUAUGUACAGGAAGAAUUUAUGUUUUCCCGAAACAAGUUAAGGAGUUCAAGCACCAAGAUAUCAACAUAGUGAUGUAUUGUGGAUGUGUCAUACAUUGAUUCAGAAGAUAUCUCAACUUCAAAUCCAAAAGAAAGAAAGAUAUAUAACAACUAUUUCGACCUUAUUCAAUGGUAAUUAUCAUGCAUACUUAAAGAAAGAUAUAACAACUAUUUUGACCUUAGUCAAUGGUAAGUAUCAUGCAUACUUAUUUUGGUGCUUCUCGCCGGAAGCACUUUUGGGAGGAACACCAUUCAGAAGAUAAUUCCGCUCUAACAGAAUGAAACUUUUAACAACUAAUUCGACCUUAUCCAAUGGUAAAUGUUGUGUAGACUAUUUUGGCACUUCUCACUUAGAGCACUACUAUGAAAGAACAAUGUAUACAAUAAUCUGAACUGCAGUAUCAUGCAGAGGAACAUAUUACUGAAAGACUCACAUGGAACCAGUAAAUUAGCUAGUCCAAGUAAUAUACAAUGAAGCUCCUCAUGCAUAAACAUGACAGUACACGAAAAACCUGAAAAUUUAAUACUUAGCUACCAUGGUACCAAGAAUACAGGAAACACACAUGUACGUGAAAAGUCAAACAAAACCAACUCAUUCAUGUUUUGCUGGAAAUUAAGGAACCUUGGAGGAUUGAGAUGAUGUUUCCCUGCACCCCUUGCUCUUUGCUGCAUGUCGUCCCAACUUCCUCAAAUCAAUCCUCUGCUUGUAGAUUAGAAGAUCUUGGAUGUGGCCACUUCCUCUCUAUAUACAAUUCCCCCAAUAUAUAUAAGCAUAAUGAUACAAAAGGUUCGCCAAAAAAACAAACUUUUUAUGUACAAUCCUCCCAAUAUGUAAUCAAAAUGAUACAAAAGGUUCGCCAAAAAAUCAAACAAUCUGCCUAUGAAGGAGCAUUGUUGUUGGAUGCUGGGGUGCUUUGAAGAUGGUGUUUCAACUUGGACAAUAAAUGGCAGAAUUUCCCUGACCAUAUUAGCGGAGUGUACCCCUUCAUCAUUGACCCCAUACAUUUCAAGUAAUGCUUCUACAGGUUCAAGAGAAAGCACUGCAUGUACCAUCUUCUCAGGAAAUUUCUCCAAGAAAUGGUGAUCAGAUCCACUGGAAACCAACUAUCAACUAAGAAAUGGGACCUGGCUGUUUUGCUGACCAUGGGAAGUCUGAGAACUACUCCCCGCAUGGACAUCGAUCAGGUGUCUUAUAUUACCUAAAACAAAGCCCAUUGAUGAGGAAAGCGCUAUUAUUUGAAACAACAAAAUGUAACCAUGUAGACCAGGAUACCAUUGACCAACAAAUGAAGACUCAUCAAAGAGUGGCAUGCAGAACGUAACAUUAACUCAGCUAUGCGUAGCGUAGUAAGAUCAUGGGGCAUAGGUGAUUGUUUCAUAGGGUUUAAAGAACUUAACUGUUAAUAUUUCAAAAUCAAACACAGUUAAUAUAGUUAAGACAUUUUAGGUACAAAAAUUACAACAAUCUGAACAAUUAGUAACCAAGAUUGUAGACCAUAUGUGAUUGAGUGGUAGCACAAAGCUUGCAUCUUGGUUGUUCCUUCUCUCCCUUCUCUUUUUUACUAUCUCACAAACAUUAUGAAUUUUUAACAUUUGCAUGUAGUUUCUGAACUGGACUUCUUGCAGGUAGACCAUCUCGUUGUUCGCUAUUCUAGAUAUGUACAGCAUAAGCAAAAAAUCAUAACAAUGUACUACAUUACAAUGAAGUCAGAUCUAAGAACCGAUUUCCUGCAUUACACUCUCAUCAAAACAGCCGCUUCCUUCCAUGAUCAAAAUCUCAUUGCCUAUAAGCAUAUAGUUCAGUUAGUACAGCAGCAAAUGAGUUCAUGCCUUCCUGGGAAACUAUGAUGCAAACUUGUUAGGAUUGCCUUCAUAUGCAACUCCGCUGUUCCAUUCCUCUUUGGAACUGCUAAUCUAGCUCUGGUUUACAUCAGAUUGCACCAAGCUCUCGUGACAGUUACAUAGCCUAUGGGAUUCUUCCAGGUUAGAUCAGCAAUAACUUUACGCCAUGCACCCUUUGGAGGGAAGAAGACUUAACAACCUGAAAUUGCAAAUCUACAGUAAUGUGUGAUAAAAAUCCAUCCAUCUCGUGCGAUCCAGAGGGACUUCUUGUUUACAAAUUUUCUCAUCUUCACCCUAUAAUAGAGUUCUGUCACAGUUAGAAAACAAUACUUUCCAAAUUUUUAUUUUCUAAAAAAGAAAGCAAAUAGCUUCAAAGGCAGACAAAAGCAGAAAAUAUCCAAUCGGAUUGGUCACUUGGCAGUAAAAAUAUCGUGUCUGGUAUAUAGUGGGCGAAGGGGUUUUCUGACCAAGUUAAAUCGACAACAUGCAUGGCACGAGCACCUCGGAAAAUUGUUUGCAUAGUUUUGAUACCCUUGCUCCGGAGCAUUACUUGUUCUGCUUGUAAGACGAUCAUUCGAUCAAUGACUUCAUGUGCAUGAUUGGAGUCUAUUAGGUACAACUCAUACGAAAUUCAAGUUCUUAUACCAACUUCUUCGUAACAUAUUGGAGCAGAAUAGAGCAUUCGGAAGAGCAAAUAAGUGGAAUAAAUAAGUAAACCACUAAUGCUUACCGGUCUUGUGAUGUUACUUGGUCCUCUGUGUUGGUUGGGGGAUAGAUCAAAGAAAUGCUGGUUUUGCUGGAGCUUGAAAUCCACUGAACUUACAAGUUACAACAUCCAGAGAAGGCUCACCCUGCACUGACAAGAUUGCCUUGUAUUUAUUUGUAGCCUGUGCAGGUUGAAGAAAGUUUAAAUGAGGGGAUAAAUGGAGCGUAACAUGUUCAGUAUUGUAUAUGGAGCGGUACCAGUUCAGUAUAUUCUACAAGGAUACACAUAUAAGAUCCGUGAAGACAACACUUUAAGCCUACUGAAAAAAAUCUUCAGCAUCAAAACCAUGCAAAUUAAUGGAAUACACCAACUACCUUGGUCAACCGUAUCUAUUGUAUAGGGCUUGCAAUUAUUUAAAUUAAAGCCAAAAACAUGUCUAAACAACGAUAAGAACAACCUAAUCAAGAUUAUCAUUUUAAGGCUGUAGAACUGCAACUAAAAACAAUAGGUGUAUAACUUGCUGUAGAAUUAAUAAAAAGCAUGGUAGAUUAAUUAGUAAGGAUGGAUUAAAUAUGGGCACAGAGCACCACAACCUCAACUGUGUGCCCAGAUCAAUAGAAGCAAACACGGAUACACGCACCCACCAUGCAGCACUGCAGCAAGCCAUGCAUCACACAUUGAGACACGAUACAACGAUAACACGCAAGCCGUGCAUGCAUGCUAUGCAGCGGCAGCCCGCGCAAACCAGAAGCAUGCAACGCAGCGCACGGGGCGAUAGGACGCACGACCAAGAGAGCGAGGGCGAGGCAGCCGCCAUGCGAGCACUAUGCUGAAGUUCACAUGAAGGCAGGGCGACAGGGAGCUGGAGCGCCUCCUUGCGUCGUUUUCAACUGGGCAUCGGCGGCCUGGCGUGCAUGAGGUCGAUAGGGCGAGCGCGAGCUAGAGCCGGAUUGGAUGGGCUCCAGGCGCCGACGGGUUGAGCGAGCUCGAGGUCAAGAACGAUACCUUGGCCUCGGUGUCGACACGGCAAAAGCAGUCUUGGAUGGGCUCUAGGCGCCGACGGGUUGGGCGAGCUCGAGGUCAAGAAGGCUGACGCCUCGACCUCAGCGUCGACACGGCAGAAGCAGACCCUUCUUGGAGUCUAGAGAGCUCAGGUCGUGGGAUGCGCCGGCACGGUCCUCUGCAGACUGCAGUACGCAGCUCCUCGGCGACCACAACAUGUAGCAUGUCCUAGUACGACAAUGACCUCGGCACCACCAUCGCCAUCGUACACGGUGACGAAGUGUCGCGAGGAGGCGGAAUGAGGUCGCUAAUAUGGUAGAAGCGGGGGACGACGAUGAUGGCCUCCUCCAUCUCCGGGCAACAUCCGCAGAAGGACUCGAGACGCUCCUGCAUGCGCCACCAGGGACCGUCGCGGUCUCGGCAACCAUCGCAGACAGGACGUCGAGAGGAGAGAGGCAGCCCGACAUCGGCGGAGACGACGCUGUUGCAGUCACCGGCGACGUAGCAGUAGCAGGCGCUCCCUCACGCGGACCCCUCUUCGUCCGGCCCGGCGUCCCAACAAUGGCGACGUAGCAGGCAUGCUAUGCGGGUGCACGGCCGUCUUCGCGCGUGCGUCAACGUCCAUAGCCAGCCACCACUCACGCUCGACCUGCUAGGCUGCUACCGGUGACGCCCACCUCCACCGCUGGCAACCGGAACGCCCACAGCUCGCUCGCCACGUCCAGGCCGUUCUACGUCAGUAAUCUUCCCCUGCCGGCGAUGACGUUGUAGGGCUCAUUGCAGGCCAGCUUUUUGCAGCCGAGCACGGGCCUGUCGCGGCGAUCAUGGGCCUGCACUCACCAGCUGCAGCCUUGGCAAGGUUGGGAGACGGGGCUCCGUGGUGGGGCCUUCCGGCGAGGCUCUGCCGGAGGGGAGUUCUAAAAGGAUGGGUGUGCAGGACGACGCCCUGGCGACCCCGACCAGACCGGACAGCAGCAGGAGUACCCAUUCCUAGAUCAAUGAAUCCAGCCACUAAUUGCGAGAGGGGGCGCAACUGACUGGAAGCGGAAUGGAAGGAGGAGGCAUGCAAGGGCCCGUAUUUAUACCAGGCAACCAUGAAACAGAAGACAAUUUGAAAGCAGCUACCGCAUGUAAAGAAGAAUCAACUAGAAGAAUGUAUAAAAGCGGCAACCGACUAUGUGCGAGGCCUGAAAAGCCUGGCCAGAACGGCAGCCGACUUCACAAAAAUGCACGUGCCGCAGGAGAAGCACAAAUUGGAAGCAACCAGCAGCAUGCAAAUCGCCCACGAUGACAUGGGUCUGCGGCGACGGCAAGCCCUCCUGGCAUAACACAAGAGCGCACACAUGCAAGGCUAAUUUUUUUUUAAAUAAUACAUUUUUUUAUUAAUUUGUACAAAUAUCACAUCCAAAAAAUAAUUUUCAAAAAUAAUACACCGUCGGCCCGGAGCAGGCCGAGUGGACCUAGUCGGCCCAUAGCAGGCCGACUGAGAUCCUAUCGGCUUGCUGCUGGCCGAUUGGCCUGGCCAGUAGUGGGCCGACAGGGACUAAUUGGCCUGCUGUGGGCCGACCGGUGCAUGCCACCAUUUUUGUCCCGAACGAUCCCCGGAUUUUUUUUAUAAACUAUGACAUAUUUCGUGCAACCCUUUCCCCGCAAUAUUUUCCCGCCAUAUGUCUGCGCCAACUCUUUCCCGCCACCCGUUUUCCGCCAUAUGUUCGCGCCAACUCUUUCCCGCCACCCGUUUCCCGCCAACUCUUUCCCGCCACCCGUUUCUCGCCAUAUGUUCGCGCCAACUCUUUCCCGCCACCCGUUUCCUGCCAAUCGUUUCGCGCCAACUCUUUCCCGCCACCUGUUUCCCGUCAUAUAUUCGCGCCAACUCUUUCCCGCCACCCGUAUCCUGCCAUAUGUUCGCGCCAACUCUUUCCGGUCACCCGUUUCCCGUCAAUCGUUUCCCGCCAUACCGCAGUCGUUCUUUCCCGCCAUUUUCUCAUCCCUACCUAUAAAACCCCCUUCAGACAGAGGAGGAUAAGCAUUCUAGUGUAGUGUAGUUGAGAUGUCCCAUUAUCCUUUCGAUCGUAGUUUUCACCCUGAGAUGAGCAGGACUCUUCUAAGGCUAGCUACCGAUUUCAGGAUGGACAAUAGGAUAGUUCCAUGGGACGAACUCACCGGUAGUGACACCAUAAUGAAUGAGUUGGCUCACGAAUUACGUAUGUCUGGGUGGCCUGAAAGGACCUAUGAGGAGGUACGUAUAGAACUUCUUAGGUUGCAUGCAAGGUGGAAGAAGGUAGUGGAGCCGAAGAGUGAAACUUUUAGAAGGACUGCAGAAAAGCAUCCAUUUUUAUGGACUGAGGAGAGCGAGGACGAAGAUGAUAUCUUCAAGCCGCCGCUUCCGGGUUCUGCAUCGUCAAAGAGCAAGAGUUUUGCAUCGUCCAAGGGCAAGAGUACUGCAUUCUUGGAAGGGCAAGAGUUCUGCAUCGUCCAAGGGUAAGAGUUCUGCAUCCUCGAAGGGCAAGAGUUCUGCAUUGACGGAGGAUGACGAUGAUGACUUCAUGUAGUUUUUAUGAUGUAUGUUAUAAGUUUAGUCGUACGUACCGUUAAUUUAGAUGUAGUUCUAUCUAGUUGUUUAUAUUGUCUUGUUGUGCGAGCAUUAUGUUCUAUCUAAAUAUGAUGUUGUAGUUCAGAUAACAGAGUACUAAAAUAGAGUAGGCAUAUGUCUCAUACAUAAGUACAUAGUCAUUAGUCUCAUACAUAGAAUAGACAUAAGUCUCAUACAUAAGUAGAUGGUCAUGUCUCUACUGAUAGAUGGAAGCGUCAGUGACGACGUCUGGCCUGGCGGGGAGGCGGAUCUGGAAGCGGCGACCAUCCCAACCUGUUAGGUGGCCUAAUGUUACGAGGAGGAAUUUCAGACUCUCCCUGGUCAUGCUGUGUAUCCUGUGUGGGGCCUGGUGGAGGAGUCGAAUACAUGUUCAUCCACUGGGUGUGCUGCGACAUCUGAGCAUGUAUGUUCUCCUCGGGAUGUUGAUCACUCCCCCACAUAUCAUGUGAUACUGACAUAGACGCAUGAUAUCCGUAGGCUCCUGCACGAUGGAACGUUUAGUCAUGAAGAAUGAGGUCGCCUCAAUUAAUAUUGAAAACAAUAAAAAUGAAGACACUUACCUGCUGGUUGUGACGGCUGCUCUGGCUCAAACACGAAGCUCGACAACGGGCCGUGCUGCUGUGGCUGUGGAGAAAACACGAAGCUCGACGAGGGACCGUGCUGUUGUGGCUGUGGAGAAAACACGAAGCUCGACGUGGGACCAUAGUGCUGUGGUUGCUGCCACGUUGAACUGUCAGGUUGGUCAGGACGGGGUGGCCUGGUUGUCGGCUGAUGUGCUAGACGUGGACGUGGUUGACGUUGGUGCAUGGAGUGACGCGGCUGCUGGUGCUGGUGCUGAACAACGUCGGUUCUCGGGGUGCACGUGAUAGCCUCGUACACAGUCCGUAUCUUGUUCUGAAUUCGUUCCAAGAAGGGUUGUAGCACUGGACGGUGCUGAAGAAGAGGUCCAGACGACAGUGAUCGUCCAAAGGUGGUCACGUCCUCAUAGAUUUCGUGUGUCAAGGUAGCCUGUAAAUUUCCAUGACGAUUAAUAAUGUAUGUCUCUUGCACGUCAAAGUAUGUGACAACAUUACUUAAAGAAAAUAUAUCUUACCGCGUACUGCCUAGAGCCCGAAGUGUCAUAGCUCGGGUACAUAUCCGACGGAGUAGGAUCCGGUAUCUUCUCUGGGUGGGAGUGCUCAACGAUGCGUAACCGUGUUCCGGUCAUGUAGCGCCGUAAAUAGAGAUUGAAUUCAUUGAGAUCAAAAUUGUGAUUCUCGUGCCAUAGAUGUGUGUUUGUUGUCUCCCAUUCUAUAACAUACGGCUCUAGUCUAACUAGCCAGUCAACAGUUGUCCAGGUCAUGCCCUUCCUUGUCGUCCUAAAAUUGUGGCGUGUGUUCAACAAUUACCUAAAGCUUCGAAUAGAGUACUAUGAAAGAUAAUGCAACAUUGAAAAACUGGUUAAUACAUGUGGAUGUGUGCUGGCACCGGGUUCUCUAUAGGGGAGGCAGCUCCAACUGCAGAAGACCAAAUUGCCUCAUAACCCUCUGUUGUGCCAUCUCCUCGACGAAGACAUCGAAGAUGAUCUUUGAUUUUGUCAUUCAGUAAUCUCGGUCCCUUGUGCAUAGCACAGACAGACCACCAGGGUAUCUCGCUUGUAUGGCUGCUUCCGUGUAGGGCUGCCAGAUGACCCCGGUGUACGCAUCGAACUGCUCGUUCAAUACUGUGUAUGCCUUCCUGGUCUGAUCACUAGCAAAGUGUCUAUGCAGAAAACAAAAGUUAGUAGCCGCUAGCAUCGAACUAUCUCUUGUGCAGAAAAAAGUUGCAUUAAACUAUAACACGGUGCAUACCUCGCGACGUGUCCAACACAGACCGAAAGUAGGCAUAUCGAUGCUGUCAACAUCAAACAUGGCGUCUAUAGGCUCACGAACACGUACAUCUGGUCGCCCUAUAGAGAACCUCUCCCAUGACCAUAGUUGUAGGAAUAGAGGGCAUCCAACACGGGCUGGCUUUCUCGAUGUAAGCUGGCAACCAUUGCACAUACCUCGGUAUGUAGCCGUUAAGACCGUCGAACCCCAACUCCUCUGUCUGAUCUGAUCCGCCAUCUGAGCGCUCGCUAUCUCGAGUGCCACAGGGAUGUAGAGCGCGCUAAUAGUGGUAACAUGGUUCUCUGUGAACAUCACCUUGCCGAAAAGCCACAUUAAGUAGGCCUCCAGGCUCCGAGUGAUCUGUUCCGCAGUUAACGGCGCACGGAAGUUUUGCAUCUGCAUUAAGCAAAGAGAAAGUUUUAGUUAGCCGCAGUUAUUUUCUUUAAAACCAUAUGCAUGAUAACUUGAAGAUAAGAGGUUGAGGAAAUUACCCGAAAAUUGAGCAACCACUCAUACUUAGGUCCGUGAUGCUCCCAUACCGGAUCCGGAGCAUCCGAAAAAACACCAUAAAAACGUUGUGUAAGGGCUCGCUCCCAACCAGCCGGUGCGUCCAACAGUCCUAUGGCAUGACCUGCCAACGGUAGUCCGAGCAAAAGUGACACAUCCUCCAGAGUAGGAGCCAUCUCUCUCCAUCGGAAGUGAAACGUGUGGGUCUCUGGCCUCCAACGGUCCACUAAGCAGCUCAGCAAGGACCCGUCGAUGGCGAUGCGUCUCUCACCCGGGAUAGACUCAACCAGACGCGCGAAAGGUAAAAGGCCGGUCCAUUUCAACCUUCAUCAGAGAACAUUUCAGUUAGUGUCUCCCAUUAAUAUGCAUGUCAGUGUGCAAAUUAAUAAAGCAUGUACCGUUGAAGCCAUCCUGAGUGUAUCAUCCAGUUUUCCUUAGGAGUGCGAGUGACCAGAGGCUCAAGCUUGCGCUCAUACCAUAUCGCACCACGAUGACCCCUAUUAAUGUCCCCAUUCAGCAACCACAUUCCCGACAUUCCUGCACAUAAAAAAUCAGAACAUAGUGCCACACUUAAUAAAAAUUCAGAACAUAGCGCCACACUAAAUACAAAUUCAUAACAUAGUGUCACACUUUAUAAAAAUUCAGAACAUGGUGCCACACUUAAUACAAAUUCAGAACAUAGUGCGCCACUUAAUAAAAACUCAGAACAUAGUACCACACUUAAUACAAAUUCAGAACAUAGUGCCACACUUAAUACAAAUUCAGAACAUAGUGCCACACUUAAUACAAAUUCAGAACAUACUACUGCUAGCUUAGCUUCUUCCUCUCGCCCUUACUCCUCUACUGCCUCUACCUCCUCUUCUUCCCCGGUUGCCUUGUCCAUGCCCAGUGACGAAAGUGGGACAAUUAGUGUCCCUAUGGCCAAAUUCAUUGCAUAGAAUGCAUUGCCUAGUUGGACCUCCUGCUUCAGAUUCAUCCAUAUCAUUCCAGAUGCGCUGACACUGCCCGUCUACCUCUACUUGUACGCAUAUGCUCUGGGUUUGGAAUGUAACGUCUUUCAGCGGGGUUGACGCUGUUGAAAUUACCCAUUGAUCAAAAACCCAUUAGCUCACCUGUCCAGGUAUUGAGGACAGACUCUUUCAGAAAAAAAUGGAGACACAAACGAUAUUGCGUCCAUUCCAAGCUGCCCGCAAGCAGCAAGUACAUGUGAGCAAGGUAGGUGAAGCAAUUUCGGUUUGUUGCAUGUGCACUCACAUGUUGGCCAGGCUUGAUUACCAAUUUUCACAUCAUGCGUCCUCAACUCAUUUGCACAUCCGAAUUUGUUGUUGGCUAAGCGGACAUCAAACCUUCUUUCUUGAUUACCGAUGGCGACUACAGUGUGUGACCUAGCUUUUUGCAUCUUGUUGUCCAUGUACUUCGUGACUCUUUCACAGUAUUGUGUAUUCGGGUUGUUGAAGAUAUGCUGCUCUGCUUUUUGACGUCUAUCUCGGAUAUACUUGACGGUGCCAUAGAAAAUACCAUCAACGAUGGCUGUAAGUGGCAAUGCUCGGUUUCCUCUGAGGACAAAGUUGUAAGUUUCCACGAGGUUCAUUGUCAUGACACCGUACCUUGCUCCAUGUGUGUCAUGUAGCAAAGACCACCUUUCCAGAGGCUCAUGCUCUAUCCACUGCUCGAAGGUUUUAAUCGACCUCCCAAGCCUUCUCCUAGUACCAGGUGGGUCAAAGCCUGGCAGGUCACAUAGCCCAACAGGCUCCUCCUCCAUGGCCGAUGUUCCUAUUGCCAACUGUGCAGCUACUGCUUCAACAUGUGCCCUCACCGCUGCAUCUCUUGCAGCUUUCCUGUCCCUCACGUGUCUCCGCGUGCACACAUUAAGUAUGUCGCGUAUCAAAUUGUACUUCCAUAACUGGUUCUGCUUGCAGAGUUUUUUGAACAGAUUCACCAGGUUCUUAUUUCUAAACUGCGAGAACAAAUUAGCCCCCAGAUGGCGCAUGCACCAACGGCUCUGCAAGUCCUGCCAUGGAACUUGUUCCUCAGGGCCUGAGUUUGUCAGUGUCCUUAUCGCACUGAGUAUACUUGCAUGCCGGACAUGAAGGAUGCACACAUUGGGCUUCUCCUUCACAACUGAUAUUUUCAACUGCCUGAAGAACCAUGUCCAACUUUCAAUGUUCUCACUCUCCACAAAAGCAAAUGCGAGUGGGAUGACUUGAUUUUGGCCGUCUUGACUGUCAGGAUCUGACCCUUGUACUUGCCUGUGAGAAAAGUACCGUCAACACAUAUCACCGGUCGGCAAUGCCUGAAAGCUUCGAUGCAUACACCGAAAGAGAAGAAGAGACGAUGCAGCACCCUCACAGUUGGGAAUUCUGGCAUGAACAUGUCUUGGAUAUCGAUAUAGGUGCCUGGAUUCCGCUGCUGCAGGGUUUGGAGGAGCUGGACAACAGAGUCAUAUGCAUCAAAAUAAGAACCAAAUCUCCUCUCAAGCGCCGCAUGCUUAGCCCUCCAAGCCUUGCCAUAAGAAAUUAUGUACUUGAACCUGGCGAAGACUUUUGUCUGGACUGCCUUCACUUCCAUAGCUUUGCCCUGCACUAUCUCAUCGUAAAACAACCGAGCAAUAAGCGUCGAUGAAAGGUUGGCAUGAUCCUGAGGGAUGCAGGGAAUAAGACAACUGUGAUUAAUUAAGUCACUUAUCACCCAACUUGUGCCAUACUUAGGGAGAAAGCCGUGCACCCUGGCGGGACAAUCUGCGUUCUUGCAUACCAUUGUCAGGAAUUUCUGACUGGACACCUGAGCUGUGAAAACCCUUUGCGUGGACAUUGCCCAGUUAAUUAUUGCAUCUUUCAGGGCUAGCUUGUUCGGAUACAUAGCACCCGUCACAAUAUUGUUCUGGUGAUAUUGCCAGGCUGAAUCAUGUCCAUCAUUCACGGUCAUUGCAGAUGAGAAGUCAUGAUUCCACGAUGCAGGAUUCGGGACCUCCUCUGCAUUUUCUUCUUCAUCUGACUCGUCAGAAUCAUCGGCAUGACCCCUUUCAACAUCGGUGUCUUCUUCUUCCAUCUGGUCCUGCAUGUGCCCAUCUACCUCAUCGGUGUCCACCUCGCCAUUGUAAUCACCAUCGGCAUUUCCUCCUUCUACCUGACUACUCUGCCCAUGGUUCAUAACCAUAAGCAUUUCCUCCUUCUACCUGACUGCUCUGUCCUUGUUCGUAACCAUCAUCUCUAGCAUUUGACAUAGAUAACUGCCUCCCUACACUGCUAUGACCAGGAUCGUAGCCACCCUCGCCUUCAUGUGCAGUGACCUCCUUCACGACGGGAAGCACUAAAGCAACAGGAUUGCAUCCCCUUCGUUCACAACCUUGUAACCACCGCACCCAUUCGGAGUCUCGCUCUAUCGGCCUCAAAUAAAAGUAAAUUAUUGAACUUGACAGUGUCCACAAUGCAUGAACACCGACGGUGUGUGUUUCAGUAUCAAGACCUAAACUUGCCGCAAUCCAUUCUUUCAACUGACUGACAGACCAUGUUUGAGGUGCGCUCAUUGGCACAUCUAUGUGAGUAAAUUCACUCGGAUCUGCUCCCAUCUCAGUUGUUUGGACAGUACCAGGACCAUAGCAAAAUCUGAAGCUCACUACAUCGGACAUCUCGGCUCACCUAUUUUUUUUCAACAACGAAAUACAAGUAUUAAGCAACAACUUAAUAUACCCCCACUAACAAAUAUUAGACAUGUCUAUAUAUUAGCUAGCUAUAUAUUACAGAAUAUUAACGGAGCAACUAAUACUACCGGAGCAACUACAAAUUUUUACACAACUAAUUAGUUAACAUCUAAAUAUAUUUACGUAUACUACCGGAGCAACUAACAAUAAUCACACACCUAAUUUAUUCACAUCGAAACAUAUUAACAAAUACUACCGGAGCACCUACGAAAAAUAAAAUGUUGGUUGAAAUAUACCCUUGAAGCGUGCGUGCGAACGACGAACUACGGCCUUCAAUCACCGGAAUCGGAGCGGGAAACUCCACCAAACUGCCGGAGCUUCACCUCCACCGCCUCCACCACACUGCCCCAACUUCUCCACCACCACCUCCACCUCCACCGCCGCAACAAGCUCCACCAAUGAGCUGGAAAAAAACUCCACCUAAAUGCUCACCACGACCGCCAUGAGCUACCCCAUCAGUAGAUCGAGGUCUCUUUUGGUUGCCCUAACUGAGUAGAAUUCAUUCACGGUGCCAAAUCCACAAAUAAAUGGUUCAUUUAGGUGUAGAAAUUGGGGGCAUUUUGGUGUACGGAGAGGAGAAGGAAAGAACAGAAGAAGAACGCUCGCGUGGGAGGAGGAAGAAGACGCAGGGAGCCGGCCGUGCCGCGCGAGGUGGGUCCACAACCUGUCGGCCCGCAGCUGGCCGGUCGGCCCGCGAUAAGCUGACAGGGGCUCUCCCCAUGACCGCCGCGCCGACAGCUCCCUCUCUCCCCCCUCGUGACGUGGCCUACCCAAUCCGCGCGCGACACGUCGCAGGCUGGCCAGCUAUCGGCCUGCUACUGGCUGAGUGCACCCAGUCGGCCUGCUGUGGGCUGACUAGGCCCAAUCGGUCCGCAGCGGGCUGACGGUGUAUUAUUUCUAAAAUUCUUUUUUUAAGCGUAAUAUUUGUGCAAAUUAAUAAAAAGAAAUUGUAUUAUUUAAAAAAAAUAGCCACAUGCAAGUGAGAACAAACGCAAAAGGACAAAACACAUUGGAAGAGGAAUAAACAAACCAGCCGACAGGAGAGAAACAUGACAACCAGGCAAAGAACGGGAAGAAGGACGUAAACAACGGGACUGUCUAUUUAACAGUCGACUGAAAAUCAAUUCGAUUUCAGUCAAAUUUUCGAGCCAAUCAAAUUGUUGCGGUUGUACGUACGCUAACGGAUCUCUCAUUCAAUUGUUUUCCCUGACCCGAUACCAAAAAAGACCGAAAAGCUAGGACAGACUCAAUACGCCCAAAAAAACACCUGACAAACACGACACAUGAGAACACUUGAAAAAAUAGGUCCCAAAAGUUCACUGAUACUGUAUACAACACCCAGACGAAAAAAACAUAGGUACCGGCGUGAAAAGGCGUCACUUCUCCAUCAACUUGUAGUACAGUCACAGUGUUAAAAACAGUAGAAUCUACAGUUUAAAUAGUGUUUCCAUACAGUGUAAUUACAACACAAUGGCAGUGUAAAUCUGACAAUGAACUACAGAAUUUAGAGAAGAGUUACAGUGCUAUUAAGGUAAAUUUCUUUACAGUGUAAUUUACAGUAGACUUACACCAAAAUUACACUGCAAAUACAAUAUUUACUGUGAAGAUUACAGUGUAAUUUAGAGUAGAGUUACAGUGUAAUUACAGUAGAUAUCUUUACAAUGUCAUUUACAGUAGAUUUACACCAAAAUUACAGUGCAAAUACAGUGUUUACUGUGAAGAUUUACAAUGUAAUUUAGAAUAGAGUUACAGUGUAAUUACAAUAGAUUUUCUACACUGAAGUUUACCCAAAAUUACAGUGUAAAUAGUGAAAGAUUUACAGUGUAAAUUGCAGUAGAAACAUGUGUAAAUCAAUUGAAUUACACCAGUAUAUUUACAGUUUUACAGUGGAGUUUACACUGUAAAUCUGCAAUUGAAUUACAGUAGUAAGAUAUGCAGUCUUUACAGUUGAAACACUCUGACCGUAAAUUGCUCACAGUAAGAGAGUGCUAGAUGGACAAACCCCGAAACCUAUCUAGAAAAAUGAUGUUACCUAACGGAUGAUACAUUGUCCUAUGUUACCGUAAAUUGUCCUAUGUUUCUUUUCCAAAAUGUGCACGUAUACGGAGCAACGGAUGAUACAUAGCUAAGGUUAUCACUAGAAAGUGAAGAAAAUGCAUUUCUGAAUGUAGGCCCACAUUCAUUCACACAACUCCUACAUUCAAAGGUAAUAUAUAAGGUAAAGCAAAGAACAAACACCAAGAGGUAGAGAACUGAAAACAUUGUAGCGGUUACAUACUCUAAAUGUACUCUUUAUUGUUAUCCUUCUAACUGGCACAUACAACAUCACUGGAUUCAGAUAUGGAGCAGGCCAAAGAAAUUGAACAAGGAAAUUUAGUUACAAAGAAGUUCGAAAUCAGUAGCAAUCGAUUUGACAAGCCGAAUACUGUAAGAGGGACCUCUGUUUUAGCAAACUUAAGGAGGCACUCCAUUCCAUAUCUCUGAACAACAUCCCUGUACCUAGGGCGCAAGCAUUGACAACAGUAGUGAAAACCUGCCAGAAUAUCUACUAGAUACAAUAAUCAGGGGGGAGGGGGAUUGAGAGGGUAGCUUACCACAAUACGUUCUCCGACAGAUGAAAUCUUUCUCUUUAAGCAUCUUACUCUGUUAAAAACAUACAAAGGGAGAAAAAAACAUUCAAUUAACCAGAGAGAAGAGAGAAAUCAAACAAGAGUGAUAAGCAACAUUAAAAUUCACACACAUGAUUCAUGUAGAUGUGAAACAGAGCUUUGUUAAUAUUUCCAUCAGUCUUAGAUAGGUCCCGAGCAUAAAAAGGGUAUAGUUAGGAGUAAGUAAUCUGGUACUAUAUGGUUCAUGUAAAGCAAAAAGAGCAAAAUAAAGGACAAAAAGUAAUACCAAUGCUGCAUCAAUUAUUCAUUAUCAGCAAAGUCCUUAGGCAUGAACGGUUUGUCAAACGAAUCUGCAGUGUCAAAAAAUGAUUCGACAGGGCCACCCUGUUCCUAAACCUUGCGGAGUCUACCAAUUUCUUAAAAUUAAGCCUAUAAACAGAUUACAUGAUAAAAUAAAAGAAUAGAAAAUAGAAAUUAGGAAAGUCAGAAAGUGCUACACCGAAACUAUUAAACAGUUGAACACCACUUAAAGGAACUGAAAAUGCAAGACUUACGUUUAAAUUAUAGUAAAAAAUAUAAUACCGUAGUGUAAGUUUCUGUGUGCUAUCACUGUAACUAUUUGCAUAUGUUAUAAUUUAAAUUACAUUAACCCAGAAUUGAUAUUACAGUGAAUCAAAAUAGAAAAUUACAUGAACUCAACUGCUCACUGUAAUCAGGGCAAUUACAUUGAAGAACUGAAACAAAAUACAUACAUUACUUACACUAUAAUACUGAUCCAACUUACACUAUAAAAUCCAGGCAAAUUACACUGAAAGAAUAUGGGAAACUACACCGUAAUACUGGUCCAAAUUACACUGGAGGGGCAUUACACACCAAAUAAGGCUGGAUGUAGAAUUACAGUCAAAAACUGAGGAGAUUACACUAUAAUACUGAUGCAAAUUACAGAGUAAUCAAAAAAGGGCAUGAAUUACAGUGCAAAUGCUGAUACAAUUUACACCCAAAAACUGUGGGAUUUACACUAUAAAUACUGACGCAAAUUAACAUAACACAAUUGGCGCAUUAGACUGUAAUUUAGAGAUUCAGAUAACAGUACAGUGAAAUUCAGAAAAUAUUAGAGAUACAUUAGACUGUAAUUCUAGCGCAUUACAGUGUACUUCAAAGAUAAUUUGCGUAAUAAUAACUUGGUGGAUUACAGUGAAAUAAAGACACACAUUACAGAGUAAUUUGAGAGAUACAUCAUAACACAACUGGGGGCAUUGCAGUGAAAUUCAGAGACACAAUAUAGACUAAAGAAACAAAAGUUGAACUAGUUGAACUACAUUGUAGAUCAGAGUUACAAAUACAGAGUAAAUUCAGAGCUAAUCCAAUGCUACUGGACCAAUGCUACUAACACACCAAUGCCAGCUGUAAAUUCAGAGCUAGUCCAAUGCUACUGGACCAAACAAUCAACAAGAAAAAAGAAUCCUCAUGCAAUGAACACUGAAACUAUGGCAAAAACACUGAAAAGCAUGAGGUUGCAGUGAAGCUACACAGGACGAGGUACAAUGAAGCUAUAGGGGCAGCUAAUUGGGUUAAAAAUCGCACAGCAAAACUGCAUACAAUACUAGGUAAAUCUCAGUGUAACAUACACUCCUAUUAUGGGGGAACACUGAAAAAACAAGCAUAAAAUUCAGGUAGGUACAGAGAAGGGAACGUCCAAACAGAGAAAUUCAGUAACCAGCGGGAUAAAACAACGGCGUGGAACAAAAACAUGAGUAAAAUUAGGGGCUACAACUACAACUACAACCCAAUACAGAACAACCAGAACUCGAUCUUCAGAAGUCAAGCCACGGGAUCCACCCCUGAAAACUAACGCCUAUACGCCUACCUACACAUCAACAGCAGAGAACUUACGUCUAC